UAAAGUGUUCUUUUUUUAGCAUUAAACUAACUUAUAAUUUUAAAAACUUCAAGGGACUAAAAUAAUAAUUUACCAUUUGGGGGCUUGGCCCCGUCCCUGUAAAUAAGGGUAAAGCUAGGAAUUAUGUAUUGAGGGUCGAUCUAAAGUUGAAAUUUUGGAGGAACAAAGAAAAAAAAAUGUUAUAAUGAUUUAAAUCGAAUAAAUAAUUCUUUGGAAGGGUCAAAAAUGCAAAAAAAAAAAAUUCAUUUGGUCAAAGCUCAAACGGGUUAAAAUUGAAGUCUAAAUUUGCAAGAGAGACUAAAAGGGGAAUUAUCUCAUUUACCCAAGAGGAUUAAGGGUGAGUUUGAAUAAGCAACACUAGCGGUGACAUUAGAUAUUGUAGUGUGAGACAAAAAAUAAAUUAAACGUACCGCACCGUCCAUCCAAACUCACACUUAUGUUGCUUGGACUUUUUAUUUUUCUUAAGAGUUUUCGAAUCGAGAUAGAGAGAUCAAAAUAUGGGGUCCCUUUACUAUACUUAAAUAUGGGGUUUAGUUCCCAUACUUUGACAUGAUUUUCAAUUAAAAAAAAUAAAGGUGUUUAUUAUUUAAAUUAAAAAAAAAUAAAAUUUAACUAAAUUGAACAUAAUAGAGAGAUCAAAAUCAUAAUUUAAUCAUGUGAAAAAAAUUUGUAUUUGACAUUUACAUCGAAAUACGGUUAUAAUAGAUUCGGGGAAAAAGAUAAAAAUGGCAUUUUUCCCAAAAUAAAAUGCUAAAAAAUUGUUGAAGAAAAAUCCAAAUUUCUUUCUCAUUUUAGAUUAAAAAAACAAUCUAUCAAAAGAAAUGAGAAAAAUGGUUUUAUUGUGGAAAACCCAUCAUUUUCAAUGUAAAUAAAAUAAUGACAAAUCAUUUUCUUUUUAGCUAUCAUCCAUAGUUUAAAAAAAGCACCCAUUUUGACAUCUUUUUCACUUUUAAAAAAGGACUUAAAUAUGCUAACAAGAGAAUGUUUGUCUUAAAAACAUAAAAAAUUUUAUCAGUUACAUCGAAGUUAUCGAAAUUGUCAACAUAAAAAUUUAUUACAAUUAAUUCUGAUAAAUAUCGAUGAUGGAAAAUUAUAACUUUCUUUGGGCGAGGUCCAUCAAAAAUGAAAAUUUAUUUAUGUAGUCCUUUUAGUUUUUAAAAAUUAUAAGUUAAUGUGAUGGUUAAAUUAUAUUUUGACCCUCAAAAAAUUAUAUUCAUUUUCUAUAUUUAAAACAAAUUUCAGACUUUGUCCUUAUUUAGGCUUAAAAUGUAACAAUAAAAAUGAACUUAAAAAAGAGUAUCUAAUAGGGGAGUCUCAAAAUGGUAAAAUUGCUUCUAAAAUCUUUUAAAAAUUAUAAAAAUAUUUUUUAAUCCCUUUUAUAGAAAAAGAAAAAGGCAAAUCAAGUGAUUUUUCUUACCUGUAUCUUGGCAGCGGCAGUGAUUUUCAUUUCCAUUGCAUGAUUCCAUGUGAUCGACCACACCAUACCACCACCCUACAAGAAUUUAAGCUCAAAUUUUUUACCACUAGAUCGGUCGGGCAGUAAGAAAUUCGAUGCAUUUUAAGUAAAAUUUGAAUAAAGAAAGUAUUAGGAGAGUUUUUUUUCAGUUUGGGGUUUGACCAAGUUGUACUUUGAAAUAGUUAAAAUUUAAUAUGAUUAUGGAAUACGGAAAGUUUUCGAAUGAGAAAAAAGUAUUUACGGAAAACUCACCAUAAGGGAAUUCUCUGUUUCUUCUCCAUUGGAUCUCGAUAUGAUCACCGGGUUUUAAUUCAAAUAAUGAAUCGGAAAUGUGAAGAUCAUAUGAACAAGUAUCGACCGGUGGCGCUCUUAGCCUAUCCCAUGAUAUAUUCUCCUCUGUUGUUCGCCGUCCGUGAGGCGAGUACCUGAAAAGUACAAAAAUCCAACUUCAUUGAGCUUAUAUAUUAACUUCAAGAUUAAAUUAUGAUCAAAGUUGUAUUUAUAACAAUCGCGAAUGUUACGAAUAUUAUCAUGAUAAAUUAUGACAACUCUUAUUUUCCGCGAAAUAAUGUAUAACACUUAAUCCGAACAUAUUCGUGUCGAACCAGUACAAUAAUCCGAAACUCGCAUACCGAAUCCGAGUAACAUAGAGUAUAAAUUUCCAUACCUUGCUUGAAAGGUGUCAGUUUUUGAAUCAUAGCUAAGUUUGGCAUCAUAACAUGAUAGCAAAAACCCAGCAUGUCCAUUCUGCAAAAAUAAAAUAAAAUAAAAUAAUUAAAUUAUUGAUCACUAAAUGUUUUAUUAUUAUUACUAUUAUUUACUUAGAGAUGAGAAUGGGACGAGACGGAUUCUUACUUUCUACGAUCUCUAUUUAAUAUGCCUCAACAUAAUCUAAUUCCGACCCGGUCUAAGAUUAAAUAUUAAUUUACUUCGAACCCAAUUUAAAUAUAUGCAUAAUUUUUAUUUUUUAUAACCAAAACACAAAGGGCAGAGGGAGAGAGACAGUGGUCUUGACCCAAAAUUAAAAAUUCUCUUACUCCCUUUUAAUUUUUAAAAAAUUAUAAAUUAAUAUAAUGGUAAAAUUGUAUUUUAAUCCUUUAAAAUAUUUUUAUUUAUUUUUUACCCUAAAACAAUUUUCUGCCCUGCCAAAACAGAAUAAUAAUUUUAAAUAUUUUUAAUUAUAUUAUUAAUUAUUUUCUAAGUACAUUUAUAUUUAAAAGCAAAUAUUAAUAUAAAAUUUUAAUAUCAUAUAUUUUAAAUCAAUAUUAUAUAUAAAAAUAUUUUGAUAAUUAUCUUUUCUAAACCAAAUCCAACCCGCCCAAAACUCGAUUUAAGAAAAAAAAAAAAAGACUGUUAAAUUGUGUCGGAUCAAGUCGAGUCCGAAUUUUCCUUUUUCAUCACUACAUUUAACAAAUAUAUAAAGAAAAUUUAAUUAAUUACUAAAAAUAUUUUAAUAAUUAUCUCGAAACAUGUUUUUCUAAAUCCGACCCAAACCGCUCAAAACUCGAUUUAAAAAGAAAAAAAAAACAAUCAGAUUAGAUCGGAUUGAAUCGAUGGGGUCGGGUUUUUCUCAUUCCUAUAUUUAACAACUAUAUGAAGAAAAAUUAAUUAAAUUAAAUUAAAUUAAUUACCUCUCUAUUAUAGACUUGAGCAGGGAACGAGAAUCUCCCAGUUUCCAAAGCCAAAUACCAAGCCAUGAUCGAAUCAACAGCCAAUCCGCCAUUUUUGAGCUCUUUUUCAGCUCUGGGUUUAAUGUUAAACCAAGAGAGAAACGGCCAAAUUUUAGCAACAGAUUCAAACGAAAAAUUGCUUUGAUUCCUUUGAUUAUUCAACAGAUUGGAUCUAUUUUUCAAAGCAAUAUACCAUUGCCAUUCUCUAUAAGCAGCAUCUCCAAUCACUUUCCCCCAUUUCCCUUUCAUCCUUUUCUCCCAAACAUCGUCACUCACACACCGUUCUCUCAAAGAAGAACAAACACCGGACAUGGCACAAAGCUCCGCCGGUUGAAGACGGUCCAAAAUGCAGUCCAAUACGAGCUCAGGCAAGUCCAGCAACGACGGAGACGGCGUCGUUUUGUUGUGAUCUUCUUUUUGGUUCUCCGUUGAUGACGACCAUACGAGGUUUUUUGCUUUGGGUUUGAGCUUCUUUAAUGGCGUGGUGGAGGUGAAGAUUUGAAGGGUACCUUUUUGGAACCAUGAGGUCAUGAAAGUGGUGGUGAACGCUUCGUCCCAUGGCGGGAACAACCGCCGUUCACGGUGGUGAUGUUGGUGCUUUGAAGAUAAUGAUUUGGAUAAAAGAAUGAAGGAGAAACAUGAAAUCAAUAGUAAAAGCAUUGUUGGGGUUUUCUAAAAAUGGAAAUUUCAAAAGGCUCAAAUCAACGAAGAAGAUGAAGGAGGAAAUAUGUAAAAUGCAAAGCGCAAACACAAGGUUUUAAAUAAAGAGAUUUCAUAUUACAUUAUAUAAUAUAUAUAUUAGGAGGUAUUUAUAUUAUUAUUUUAUGUUGGUUGGUGUGUGUUUCAUUACUUUGAUCAUUAGUUUGGUGAAAUUAUUAUUUUGGUCCUCCUUUUAACUUAAAAUUUGAGAUUUAAUUUCUACAUUUUAAUAUGAUACGAUUUGAUUUUUCGAUUUUUAUAAUAUUAUUAAUUAGUCUAAAUAAUUAACACGGUUGGGAAAAAAUUAGGGGGCAAGCCCCGGCUCCCUUAAAAUGAAAAAUUUUUUAUUUAGACCUUUUAAAUUAAUAAAGGUAAAAUUACACUUUGCCCCCUUAAAAUGAUAAAAUUUGAUUUAAUCCUUUAAAAGUUAUAAAGAUAUAGGCUAUCAAAAUAGUAAAAUUACAUUUUUACUAUUGUAAAAAUUACAAUUUAAUUUCAACCCCUAAAAAUUUUUUUUGGCUUUGCCCCUAUUUAAAAUGAGUAUGUAAUUUUUUUUUAAAAAAAAUAUCUAAUUCAACUUAUCAUUGUUGGUUAGGGUUGAGAAAAAGAAAAAUAAAAAUAAAUCGAUUUGACUUAUAGUGUUUGAUUCUGUUUUAGUUCGAGUUUAUUAAGUUCAUUUGGUUUCGGUUCGAUUAUGGGUUCAUAAUUUAAAAAUUUGUCAUUAUCUAAUCCGAACUAAAUUCUUUUUUAUUUAAUUUAUAAUUAGUUUUUAUAUUAUAAAAUAAAAUGUUUCAUAUCUAAAUUACUUGAAAUAAAUUCAAAAUACCAUGUAUAAGCAAAUUGACUAAACCGGUUCGACCGUAAAAUUCAAUUCGAUUCAAUUUACUUAGCUUUCAUAUUCCAUUCAAUCCCAACACGAAAUUAAAAAAAAUAUUGCAUAAAAACCGUCAUUUUCUUUCAAAAUCGGUCCAAAUCAAACCAUUAUCACCCAUACGCAUCACAUCAAAAUAGAUGCUUUUAGGCAAGAAAAAAGAAAAAGUCAACAUUUUAACCAAAAGUUAUCAUCGAUGUUAACUAUUUAGAUUAAUUAACAACAUUUAAACAGACUAAAUUAUAUCAAAAUACAAUAUAAUAACUAAAUUCUAAGUUUAAGCAUAGUAAAGGGAUCAAAAAUAAAUUUGACCCGUUAAUUCUUUUUCUUAUAUUAUUGACAAAGAAAGGUGAAGCAAUGAGAGGGAAAGAGUAAGCGAAAUGGGCGGAGUUGUCAAGUGCAAGUGGACCUCUCAAACACAUUGUGUGAAAAAGGGGUAAUUAAAUUAAUUUAAUAUUUUAAAUAAAUAAAUGAGAGGAAAAAUGUUGACACCAUUUAUAGCCGACAAGACAAUAAAAUACAACGUUGAUUGCAUCUACCUUGGUAGUUGGAUUUUAGGGGUUAGUUUGGUUAGAUGACUUGUUUUUUCCUUCUUUUUAAUUUUUAUUAAAAACUAUGGACCACCACAAUUGUCAAAUUUCUUCAUUAAGGGAUUUUUUUUUUCACUACCACGUAAAAAAAACGGGUUUGAAUUUUGGAAAUAGAUUGUUAAAAGAAACAGUUACAAACCCUAAACAUGAGCCGUAAAAUAGAUUGACAGAUUGUAUAGUCAAAAUUGUUCUUAAUGAUCUUAAUAAGCUAUCGGUUUUUGAAAACUCACUUAAUCAUACUCAAUUUUUAUUUGAAAAAGAUGCUCAUCGAGCAAUGAUUAAUAUUUCUCAUCAACUUUAUUAUAAUUAAUUCCUUAAAUUUGUGUCUUUUCUAUUUAAAAAAAACAUUAUAAAUGAGAAUUGCAUUUAAAAAAAUUCAAUCAAAGUCAAUAUAUACUGUUUAUAAGUAGAUAUAUAUUUUUUGUUAUAUAACAUUUAUUAAUAAUAAAUUAAUUCAUAAAUUUAAAUUUUCUUUUCUUUUUAUUAGUCAAUGUUAGUCGAAGGAGCUGCUUCUAACAAGUUGGUUGAGCUACGUUUAAUUAAUGACUUACUUAAACAGAAUUGGAAAAUAAGAUUUCGGCAUAUCCAACGGUCUCAGAAUAUGGUCGCUGACUAAAUGACUCAGCAUGCAAAUAAUGGUACACAAAGUUUAUUAUUGUUUACAGAUCCGCCAAACUUAGUUCAAGCAGUUCUACAUGAAGACAUGAAUGCUUCUAAAGGAACCGACAGUUUAAUAUAAUCGCCUAGAGCUGUUAUUUUCUACCAAUAAAAAAUUUACAAUGCGUUUUGAAGAGGUUUUCUCUUUGUUUUUUAAGUUACAAGAUUAUAAUUGUAAUAAUAUAUCCGAACAAAAGCAAUAUCAAGGAAGUUGAUAGGGGUUAGGACUCCUUAAAAUGAAAAAAAAUAUCACAAUAACUUUACAUUUUAUAAAAUAAUAAAUUAGUAAAUGGUCAAAUUACACUUUACCACCCCAAAUGAUAUAUUUUUAAUUUAAUUUUUUAAAAAUUAUAAAGACAUAAAUUAUUACAAUGAUAAAAUUGCGUUUUAGCUUCGUCCCUGCACCCAAAUAUAAACCAUAAUCAACCAUUAUAAAAUACGAUCAUAAUUAACGGUCGAUACAUAUUUGGAUCUAAAUCAAAAUAAAAUCUAAAAGUAACCCACGUAUGAUUUGCAAACAAUGAAUCUCACAAUUUAAUGAAAAAAAAAUUAAAAAAUCGUGAUUUAUAUAAAAAUAAUAUUAAUUUAGUGGCUUAAAAUAUAAAAUUCAUUGGACCAUCCAAAUACAAUGUCUUGGAAAUUUUUGUUCCCACCACAAGGGAACUUGCCAUUGGUGGUGAGAUGAAUUGAAAGGAGGUGAACCAAAUUUUAAGAAUCUUGAGGACAGGUGGCACUUCUUAAUUGGAAGAUAAAUAAAAUCUUUUUAUUUAAAAAUAAAAUCUAUAUCAAUAGAUAUAUAUAUAUAUAUAUAUAUAUAUAUAUAGUGUAGGAAUAAAAUCUAAGGAACAGUUCUCAAAAGAUUUGUAAGGAGAGAACCCACAUGCCAAAACCUAGGAAUUUAUUUAUUUAUUUAUUUUAGCUAUAAAAAAAUAUGAUUUAACAAGUAAAUUGAGUUUUAAUUCAAUUGGCAUAAACAUUGUUGCUAAUAUAAGAGAACGUGGAUUCGAAUAUACUAACACGUAUUAUCCUCUUAUUUAUAAAUUAGGGAGGAGUUAUAGGUAAUUUUAAGUAUUACAUAAAAAAGAACAGAUAUGAUAAGAAUCUAUAAUCAGAUUGUUUAAAAAAAUAUAUAUAUAAUUUAACAAAUAUUGGUGGGUUGCUUCAUAAUGAAUAUAAUUUAGUUGGUAAUUAGAUAACCUAAUAAUACAAUAUAUCAUAUAUAGUCAUUGAUGAUACAAGAUUUAAGCUUACCCAAUUCUUUGGAAUUUUGUUUUAAUUUUAAUAAUUAUUGUUAAGGUAAAAGGAAAUAAAUUUGAAUUUGUUGAGGAUCGAAUUUUGAGUUGGAAGUUUAGAUUUUGAGUCUAAAUUUGUUAUUUGAAAACGUAAAUCAUAUUUGAAUAACAAAUAUUCAAAUCCAAAUCUAUUAUCUAAAAAAAAUUAAAAUAAAUUCAAAUGAUAGAUAUUUGAGGGUUAAUAUCUGCGUUAUGAUUGUAAUUAGAAUACCUGAAUUCGAAUAUUAUCUAGAUUAAAAUUAGUUGCAAAUAUUCGAAUUUCUACUAAACAUAACAAUCCCACCUUCUAAAAUUCCGGCUAUAUUAAUAGUUUCAAUCAAAAUAAAUCAUUUCAAUGAAUUGAGUAACUAACUAAUCAUAAUCAAAAUAAAUCUCGUGUUGGUGAUAAACUUGAUUAAGCAAUGAACAAGUAAAACUUUUCGAAGAGGAUAAAAAAUCAUGGGUAAAAAUAAUUUCACUAUAACGACAAAAAAAGAAGAGUACAAAAAUGGAGAUAAAACUAAACCCCAACUUGAAAAUAAGAACCCUUAAAACGUAAACAUAAAAUUCUUUGAAAGCUUGAAAAGUUAAUACCCAAAUAUGUUGUGAGUUAUGUUUUUAAAGUGAAAAAAAUAAUCUAUUUAUAGACUAAAUUUGUGGGUCAAAUAAUAUUAAAAUAACUAAUAUUAAUCAAAGAAUUCAAUUAGGAGAAGAAAUACUGAACUUUACAUCUCUAAGAUAAGCCAAGAUAUUUAUAUAAGAUAAAAUUCGAAAUUAAAGUUUGUUUUUUAAAUUUUCAUUAUCAAAUAGAUUUUUUAUUGAAUGAUUAGACUGAAUAUUAUUUGUUGUUGGUGGUGGUGGGACCAAAUUGAAUAGAUCCCAUUAAAUCCAAAAACUCCCAUUUAUGAGAAAAGGAUAGUUAUCCAUGUGAGAGGGCUCAAUUAAUGAAUUAUGAAAUGAAAGGGGGGUUGGGAAAAUUGGAUGUUGAUUUGUGAGCCAAACUAUAGCCAUAACAAUAAAAGCCAUCCCUUCAUUAUUUGUGGCCUAACUUUCCCACCAAACUUUCCCCAACACCACAAAUGUUUAAAAUCAAAGGAUUAUUUUUUAACUUUUUAAAAAUUUGAGUCAUCAAAAUAUAAAUUUAUUAAAAAUUUAACGAUUUUAAGUACAGUUUAUUCAAAAUCUUAUGAAGUAUGGUUUUUUUGUUGGUUUUUAACUAAAUCUAUUCAUAGCGGAGCUAAGUUGAUAUUUAGUACCAAAAAAUUUUCAAGCUUGACCCUAAUCUGGUUUGAUCUGACCCUGUUGUUCAUAUAUCGAUAAAUUAUUAGUAUAAACUAAAAUCUAUCUUACACACUUUCAUAAUUUUUAUACAAUAAAAAUUUAAAUUGAACGGAUAUACUUAUCAUAUAAAUAAAGAAAAUUGCAAUUAUCAUAACAUUUUAAAAAAUAAUAAAAUAAUUAAGACAUUUUUAAUUUACUUAAAACUCGACGCUUAUAAAAUAUGAAAUAUGGGUUUUGAUUUAAUUAAAUAUUAUUAAUAUAACAAAUUAUUAUCUAAUUAAAAAAAUUAAUUAUUAUCCAUUUUGCAUUGUUACUCACAUGAUGGUGCUCCCAAUGUCCACUAGCAUAGGAUUUGCCAUGUGAAGCAAUAAGGCCUGCUAAAAUAUUGUAUAAGUUUUAACAUACUAGAUAUGUUAUUUACUAUUUGUUUUUGUUGUCUUUUAAUUGAUUAUUUUAUUUGGUAAAAUAAAAAAAAUUAAUUUCAUGCAUGUAAAAAUUGUGGGUUUAUUUGGAAAUUUUGAAUGUUUAUAUUUUUUUGAGUUUUUUUUAAUUUUAAUAUUUUGGUAUUGACUCGAAUAAUAAAGUUAAAUUUGUUAAGUUUUAUUGUCAGUCCUGUAUUAUGUGUAACAUUGUAGGUUUAAUUUAUGUUUUUCAAUUUGAUCAUUCUUUAUUCUUAUACUUUUUAAAAUUUAAAAUUUUAGUUUUGAAACAAAUGAAAGUCAUUAAAUAUAUUCAUUGGUUUUUUUAUAAGAAUAUUGUUAUAUUUUCACCAAAGCAUUUGAUUAGUAUAGAAACCUCACCAAGACUUCAUGAGGAGAACUUUGCCCCCAGAGGCGAAUCCAAGGGGGCUGGCAGGGGUCCCGACCCAUUUUAAAAUAAAAAAUUGUUGUUUUGGCUCUUUAGAUAAUUUUAAAAUUUUAAAUUAAUAAAGAUAAAAUUACACUUUGGCCCCCUUAAAAUUAUAAAAAUUUAAUUUAAUCAUUUAAAAAUUAUAAAAAUAUAAACUAUUAAAAAUUAAAAUUUUAUUUCGGCCCCCUUAAAAAAAAUUUCUAGCUUUGCCCCUGUCGCCCCUAUGAUCACAUCUAAGCUUCAUGUCACACUUAGCGAGCUCACACAAUCUGCAAUAGAUAUAUUAGGAAAAUCUUUGACAACAUCCAUCAAUCCAUCACAUCCAACAAAUGUCUCGUUCAAUCCCUUCAACUUUGACUCCAAUAAUGUCUUAAACAAGCAUCGUUUACCUUAUCACGAUUCCCAUUAUUUAACCCACAUGUAGCCAUCAAUGAUGUUUGAAUCGAUCGAUUAGACCAAUAAUCAAUUGAGACAUCAAUCUAUAGAAUGACAUUGAAUCGGUUGGAUUGACAACUGAUAUGGAUCGAUUGAACUGGGUUUUUAUUUUUUAAUUGAAUCGAUUAAGACCAACAAACUAAUUAUCUAAUCAAUUCAACUAACAGUUCGAUUCUAAAACCUACAAAAACUUUACAAAAGCACGAUCUCGACCUCUUCAAGUCACGAAAUAAAAAAAAACUUAAAAAAAGGGUUUUAUUGUAAAUUUAUAAUAUUUUAAAAAAUACAAAUUGUAUACUAAAAUAUAAAAUUUUAUAUUUUUGUAUUUUUUUAAAAGAAAAAAAAAUUGACUUGAAGAAGAAACAAGCCUUGAUGGAGACAACUUUUAAGUUGUUUGUUUAGAUAAUAAUUAUGAUGAAUUAUAAAUAGUACAGCCUUUUUAAAACUAUAAUAAAUCUGUCAUUUGAUAGCUUUGGUAUUUAUGGCCUUGUGAAGGUCAUAAUCAUGAUUGUUGGUAUCGUAUCGAUAUUGGUCGUAUUAAUUGAAAUAUAUUGUUUAAUUCUAAAAUUGGUAUUAAAUAAUUUAUGAUAUGUUUCGAUAAAUAUUAGUUUGUAUUAAUGCUUAUAUGCUCAAAAAAAAGAUACAAUUUUUUAAAUUUUUUAUAAUUAAAUAAAAAUAAAAAAAGUUAUUUAAUAAUUUAAGUGAUAAAUCUCAAAACUACAUAUAAACUUUGAUUUAAUGUGCAAUUUGAUAUAUGAGCUUAGAUUUUGUGUAAUUAGAGUUCUCUAUAUGUUGGGCCACUUGAUCAGGCCUAAAGGCUCGCUCAAAAAUUGAGAGUGUAUGGACAAAAAUAUAAGCUCAGAAUAUGGACUUGGACCAAAAAUGAGGCCCGUUUUUUAAAUGGGUCGGGCCUCAAAUAAGCUUUUUUAGCCCGAGUCUGACUCGGAUACCUUAACAAAGUAUCGACACACUAUCUGGUAUCGAUACCAUUUUAAGGUUUUAUAUUUUGAAAAUUAAAGAAAAAUUGUCUUGAGUACCAAUACCCUCAUCAACAUAUCAAUACAUUCCUUAUUGUAUCAAUACUACAUGUUUUAAUACGGAUCAGGUCGAUCUGGGCCUAGGUUUAGUAUAUAUAAUCUGGGUCGAGCUUAGGCAAAAAUUUAGUCCCAUUUUUUGAGUUGGGCCAAGCUUAGCCCUAUCAAUCGGGCCUAAAAUUUUGUUAGAGCUUGGCUUGACCCAUGAAAAACUCUAGGUGUAAUCAAUCACAUUAAAUUUAGAUUGCAAUUUAGAUGUAUGUAUGUAAAUGUAAAAUGGUUCUAAAUUGAUGAUUAUGUUGGUGAUUAAUGAAAAUUGGAUUAAAUGAAAAUUUCAAUAUUAUUCUUUAAUAUAUAUUUAUAUAUUUAAGGCAUAAAAUAUUUUUAUACCAAAUAAAUAAUUAAAUAGUUUUAAUUAGACUCGAUAUAUCAAUUGAUACUCGAGUUUGACAUUUUCUUUAAUAUAGUAUUUAUAUUAUUUUUUGGUGUAACUCGACACUUGUAUUUAAAAAAAAUUAUAUAUUUUGAUAUCCGAAAUAACAAUGCUAGUUUUUCAAACUUUAAUUCGGAUUGUAAGGUGGAUUUGAUUAAUGCUAAUUACUAAUAUUAUUAUCUUUUAAUUUUUCAUAAUUUUGUUAAUAAAAUAAACUUGGUGUUAAUUGUAAAUUUAUUUAAUUUUGUAUUUAAUUUGUCAAAUAAAUACAUUCAGAUGGAUGCAAUUUAAUUUAAAUUUUAAAUUCAUCAAAUCAACUCUAAAACCCGAAUUAAACAUUAAAAAAUUAACACAGAUACCCGAAUUAACUCUAAAACCCGAAUUAAACAUUAAAAAAUUAACACAGAUACCCGUUAACAAAAAUACAACACUUCAAAAUUAAUAUGGACAAAGUAAAAAAAGAAGUAAAGUAAAAAACUAAAAAGAACUAUACAAAAACACAAGUAAAUUGUUCAUAUAUAAAUAUUCAUCAUGCUAUCAUGAAUACACAUUCACAACUAUUUUUUUUUUAACCUUUGUUACAUAUACCACUCCCUAUCUUCAUUUUGUUUCUUAAUUCUAAAGCAUCAAACUAAAUCACAUUAUUAUUUUUGCCCUAAAUGUUUUUACAACAUUUUAAGUAAUUAACAUACAACAACUUUUUGCCAACAUUUAUAAAUGUCAUGUUAUUGUUACCAAAAAAACAUUAAGACACAAUGUAUCCAUGUUUCUCGGGAAGAUUUCGAUGCUUGAUGUUGAGGAAGAGCAGCGGCAGCGGCUGCGGUGCGGGCAAUCAGUUUGUUCAUAGGAGAUGGAUUUUAUUAUCUUGCUUCUCACUCGCGAGGUCUAGCCAGCCAGAGAGAACUCAGAGCUCGGAGCCGAGAGAAAUAGUCGUUUAUUGCAAGAAGGGCACGAGCUGAUUGCCGAGUCGUCAAGAUCCGGUGCAUCUGUUGAAGUGUCUGCUGGCGUAGAUUAUCGGCCUGGUAAGUUAAAAAAAGAGAGACCGUUAAAUAUGGUGAUCACCUUAUUUAUAAGCAAUGUUUUGAAAACAGAACCGAUGGUUGAAUCAAUCAACCACCAGUUCCCGGUUCAACCAAUUUGACAGUCAAUCCAACAAUAAAUAAAUAAAUAAAACUAUAAACCAACUCAACCACCGUUUUUUGUCCCGGUUCCGAGCAGUACGCUCAGAGGCCGGUUUAAUCUCUGUCUGGACCAGUAUAUUGACUGGUUCCUGAUCCAACCGGUUCAAAUUGCUAAAUCGGUCGAGUUCCAACAACACUAUUUAUAAGACUAUAAAUUAAAUCCCUAGAUAUGAUUUUGUAAAAGAAAAUGGAACAUGUAGUAAAAUUUGGAAGCGAUGCACUAAAAAGAAUCAAGAGAUUAAGAAGUUCCUCGGUACAGUGGAAAGAAAAUUGGAAAGAAAGAAAGCUAUAUAUAUUGGUGUUUUGUGUAGGAAACAUGAAGAAGAGAAAAGAGUGAAUUUUUCUAUCUAUUACUCGGAAAAUUCAAAUAUGAAAGGAAAAAGAUGCAUAAUCCCGAGAAUACGCACCCUAAAUCCAAAUUUAGAAGUCAUUUUCCUUAUUUUCUUUCCUUUCCCACCAAACACACCUCUCUUUCUUUCUCUCUCCACCACAAUAAAAUUGCAAAACAUGUAGGGAAGCCAUAUUACACAGAGAAGGGAAGUACCUGACGAAGGAACCCUUCGAGGGUUCCUAGCUUUCCCAUGGCCAUUGCCAUUUGGCCCAUAUAAUUUGCCACAUUCCCAGAUGGUCCCGAGGGAGCAGGUGAGCCAUUGGCCAAUGUCUCGGCCAAGGAUUGUUGUAAUGCUUCCAUCCCUUGUGACAAAGCAUCUUCGGCCUGCUGGGAUGAUUGCUGCAAGUUUUGGAUACCCAUAAACUGUUGCUCAGUUAGAGGCUCCAACUGACUUGCAAGAAGCUGCAAAAGACAUCAAUUAAGUUCAGAAAAUUAUUGAUAAACACCAGUCCAGGCACUUGAAAAUCAAGCUUCGAGUCUGUAUGUAACUAGGUUCCAGGCACUUGAAUAUCGAAACCUAAUAAAGCACCAUGCCAGAAAUCGCUUUGUAAAAGAAGAACAGAGCUCACCUUAAGGAGCUCGGAUGAACGGAAGCCACCUAUCCACAGAAAACACCGCUCUGCUGGUGUUUUCCACAUUCCCGAUAAGAUAUGGAAAACAUCAGCUUUUGCAGCAAUACCUUUCAAACGGAAAAUGUCAUCAAAAUGAGCUGUGACGCUGUCGACAAUAGUGCGAAGUUCGGCGUCACCAGCAUGUGAAUUGACUGCAGCCCUCAACUCGUUUAUAUGCUUAUUGUGCUCCUCUAGCCACCGUGAAUACUCAACGUCAAAUGCCAAGGCACCUGUAUAGCAGUCCAUAAAUGUUCGGGCCAGGUCAAACAAAGGCAUCCAUAAUUACUUGAACUCCGAGCCCCUAGCACUAAAUCAUAAUACCAGUUUUCAAAUUCCGAUGAUGAAAAUAAAGCUUACGCACCAUUUCCACUCAUCGAAUGAGAUUGAUCUCCCGUGCUUGAAAUGAAUAUACCCUGCAGUUAAAGAAGUAAAGAUAAAGAAACGUGAGGCAUAAUAAUAGCCAGCAUUAUCAGCCCAAAAACCUAAGAAUUCAAAAUAUACGUCACAAUAUUGAUGGGAUAAUAGAGCAAACCUGUUGACGAGCUCGCUGCAGUUCUUGCUCAAGUUGAGUCAGUUUCAGUCGGCUACUCUCUAGCUGUUGCACAUACGCCUAUAUUUUGAAAGCAGAAAAAAGGAUUAAGAAUAAAGGUGGAUUUUUACGAGUGAUCUCUGAACUUAAUUUAAAAUAAAGACAAAAUGGAACUCUACCAUAUUAGGAACUUGAAACAAGAAUACAAUAAAAUCUUGAGAUAGGAACACAAUAAAAUUGAAAACAUUAAAGAAGUUUAAUCGAUCAAAUACCUUCUUCCUUAACCGGCUUUUUCUUGCAGCCUCCCGAUUUUGAGCUAGCCUACGCAAUGUCUGCAAAUUAGUCAUUGAGAAGAGAAAAUGAUUAGCUCAUCAAUAUUAUAUUACAAGGAUAACUACUUAGCAAUAUAUAUAGGCAUAAUGAUAAAUUUAGCUCCUAAAGUUUAUCUCUUUUGUCACUUUGGCCUAAUUCCUUUUUUUAUCACUUUAGCCUUAAAUCUUUAAAAUUUAGUCAAAUUGCAUUUUUGAGUUGGAAAGGUUAACUGAACAAUAAAUAUUUUAACCGCACUGAUGUGGCAACUUGCAUGGCAGUCCACGUUUAUUUCACAAAAAAUAAAAAAUAAAAAAUAUUAAAACAUUCAACAAAUUUCAAUAAAAAAGUUUUUAGAAAAUUUUAUUCAUGUUAGCCGUGAAGUACAUGUAGACUGCCACACAAGCUGUCACAUCAAUGCCAUUAAAAUGUUAACAGUUCAGUCAGCUUUUCCGUCCAAAACAAAACAGUUUGACUAAAUUUUGAAAGUUGAGGGCUAAAGUGAUCCAAAAAAAUUCAGGGCCAAAGUGACAGAAUAAGUAAAUGUUAGGGGUUAAACUUGCAUUUAUGCCAUAUAUAUUACAAGGAUAAACUGAUACAACAGUAUAAUAUUCUGGUUGUCCUAAUUUCAAAUUUAAAUAAAAUAAAAUAAAUUAACCUUCUGGUCUGUUUUAUCUUUUGAUCUGUCACUAGAAUCGGAAGCCACGAUAGCAUUUGUUUGACCUCUUCCAAACUGCACAAAAAGGUCAACUAAGAUUCACAAUUAACCAGCAAGCAUAUUCUCAAACACAAUAAAUGCACGCCAUGCACACGUUACAUAUGUGAAUUUGUUUAUUAUUUCUCAAUGAUGAAACAAAAAGUAAAUUCUCAGAUCAAUAAGUUGAAAUGAAAACUAAAAGCCCAAAAAGCAAGGGUUUUAAUUGCUGCAUAUGUAAGAGGCAUUACCCUUUGAUUCUUCUCUUCAGUGUCGUCUGUUGACGUAUCAGUCCUAGGGCUGCCAUCUGCCAUAUUGGAAUCUCCCCAAUUCUCCCGACCAACUGAUAUGUGUGGAAGAUUCGGUUGGUUAUCUUUCUGAAGUGGUAAUGUUUGGGAUCCCACUACAGCAGCAGAGAGAUUGUUGUCUGCAGAUGCAAGUGUCUUACACAAUACAUGCACACACACGAAAAGAACUCUCAGUAACUAAAUUUAUGUCAAAAAGUUCGAAGCUCAACCAAAACUUUCUAAAGGAGAUAGAUGCCUACCUUGCUUAAAGCACCAAAUUGAGCAUCAGCUAAUGCUUGGGAACUUGAUUUUAUUUGAUUAAAUAGUGGAUCUAAAAGACGAAAAACAUUAUCAGUUGAAUAUAUAUAAAAAUAAGGCCCCUAAAGAAAAGAAGAAAAAAAUGAUAAAUAAUCGAACAAUAUAAUGGAAAGUUCAAUGAAUACUAGACCAAACCAUUAAGCAACCCACAUCAUCACUAUAGAUGGUGAGUUACAAGAGUCAAUCCAUUUGUGCUGCAAUAUAAAGAAAUAAAAACAAAAUGCAGAACAUAUUCAACUUACGAGUUUAGCCGGAAAGUAGUACAAUAAAUCAUGCAAUUAUCCAUGAAACAUAAAAUCAAAUGCUGGCAUAUGUCCAUUAAUAGUAAAUUGAAGACCAAAAUUACAUACUUCUGGUAAGAUCAAUAGCAUCCUCUAAGCGAAAUUGAUCAAGGUUUCCAAAGUCUGGAAGCUGAGAAGAACGAAUGGCAUUUGCCUCUGCCCCACUGAAAUUCAUGUCAUUAAAACAUGUGUUAAAUGUAAGGGCAGUAUAAUUCAAUAAGUAGAAGAUUAGGUCUAUAUUCCAAGCCAAGAAAAAAAGCUACAUCGGAAUAUUUAGCAGUUCACCAAGAUCAGUUUGCAUGUUUUAAUAAAACUCUAAAUUGAAGUAAAAGCAAAAGCAAAAGCAAAAUUCUCAUAUUCUUGAAUAGUAAUAGUUCUAUGAAAACAGAGAGUUGAUAAACAAAAAAAGCACUCUAGAAAGUCAAGCAGCAUAUAAAUAGAGAUUCCAUUCAGAUUACUAGGGAUUCUUAAAUGUGCAAAAACUUGAAGUGAACCCGGGACAAGUGAUCAUCAAACAUAACCAUACAACCUUAACACCUAUGGAGGGAAAAAACAGUACAUGAACCUUUCAGUCAACAUAUACUAUUCUUUCUACAUAUGACAAGUUGACAACGAAACAAUAUAUUAACUCCCAGACUCAUCCCCUUCCUAUACUUAUAACGAACAUAAAAAGCCACGAAUUCUGCUUCGCUCAUCUUAGAAUUGCAAACUCGAAGUGCACUCAGAGACAGGCAAUUAUUGAAUAUAAUACAACCUUAACACCUACAAAGGAGAAUAAUAACGGUUCUAUAUCACGAUGCGAACCUUUCAGCCAACAUAUAUGAUUCUUUCCACAUAUGACAAGUUGACAACGAAACAAUAUAUUAACUUCCACACUCGUCUCCUUCCUAUACUUAUAACUAACAUAAAAGUAACAAAUUCUCCUUCGCCUAUCUCAAAAUGGCAAACUCGAAGUGCACUCAGAGACGGGCAAUUAUUGAAUAUAACCAUACAACCUUAACACCUACAAAGGGAAAAUAAAGGAAAGGCUUUAAAACAUGAUGAGAACCUUUUGGUCAACAUACUUUCCACAUAUGACAAGCUGAUAACGAAACAAUACAUUAACUCCCAGACUUGUCCCCCUCCUAUACUUAUAAUGAACAUAAAAAACCAUGAAUUCUCCUUCGCCCAUCUUAGAAUUGCAAACUCGAAGUGCAAUCAGAGACAGGUAACUAUUGAACAUAUCCAUACAACCUUAACACCUACAGAGGAGAAAAUUAAUGGUUCUAUAUCACGAUGCAAAUCUUUCAGUCAAUAUAAUACCAUUCUUUCCUUGGAUGACAAAUCGACCAAUAUAAAACGACAAAAAGAACAAUCUAUUAAUUUCAUGAUUCACCCCUUAAGUAAUACUAAUAUUUUCUUAUUCCUAUACCUAACAUAAAACGAAGUUAAUUCUCGAUUCAUCGAAAAUUAUAAAUUCAAACUGCUUCAUUAAAUACCUACAAUCAAUCAAACCAAUUCUACUUUACUACAAACUCAUAUAAAUAAUUGAUGAAUUCAUACAAAAAGUAAACUAAAUGCUCAUAAAACAGUGUUAAAAUACCUGGAAUUUGAAGUCGGUACUGAAGGAACGUAGCUCGGCAUCGCUGAUAAAUCUUUUUUAUUAUUUUCUACACCAUUUUUCAACGUUCUACUGCCCAUGGAUCACAGCUAAACCAUAUCAUCAUCCAAACACAAUUUUUUGGUAUUAUCCUUUUACAGCAAACCACUUUUUCCACUCUUUCAAUUUCGUCCACUGAGUCAACCAAAAAUACACAAAUAACUCGGAUAAAAGUAACCCAAAAUGAUAAUUAUAAGCUAUAUAUAAUCAAACUUCUCAAAAGAAAAAAUAAAUCAACAAGAUUUUCCACUAUAUUCACCUACUAUUCAGUACAAUUGUCCAAAAAACAAAAACCCAAAUCUAGAAACAAACUAAAUAGCAAAAUAAUUGACUGUAAAUCAUAAAAUAAAAAAUAAAAAACCAGCCUUGGGUGUUUUUUUUUUUCUGGUUCUGUGCUGAAAUUCAAAGCUGAACUUGAACUGAGAAUAACUAGUUUAGCUAAAAAAACAACAACAACAAAAGGUACUAUUAACUGAACAAGAAAAUAAGGGAGAGAACAGACUAGAAGAGAAGGGGAAAAAAAAGCCAAAGGGAAAAGGGGAAACCCUAACAAAGCUUAUUUGAAGAGUAAGAAAAAUAAAUUUUUAAAAAAGUAUUCCUCCAUUUUUGACUUUUUCGAUUGUAUAUGUAUGGAUUAGUCUUUUUCUUUUUUUCUAUAUAUGUAUGAAUUAGUCAAUACAUACAUAAACAUUACGCAAUAUAAAAUUCAUCUAUACAUACAUAUGCAGAAAAAACAGAGAAACUCUGCCAAUCAAACCUUGACAUGGUUGGCUACUCUUCAGGUAAUUUCAUUUGCAAAAAAUAAUUUUUAUUUUUUUAAAUAAAAACAAGUUUGAAAAAUAGAAAUAGAAAUUUGUUUUUAAUUAUGAAAAUAUAAAAAAAAUGUUUGGUAAUUAUUCUUUUAUAAUAGAAACACGAGAAAUAAAAUAAAAAAUUAAUUUAUUGGAUUUAAAUUAGGGUAUCGAAUUUAAUAUUUAAAAAUUUGUUCAAAAAAAUAUUUUGUAUUUAUAUGAGGCCGAUUUAUUUAAAGUUAAAAACUUUUGUUUUCAUAAUUUCCACUUUUACCUUGUAUUUUUAGUAAAAACAAUGAAAACAACUUUUUUUUCAAACAUGUUUUAAUUUUUUUAAAAAGGGAUUAUGUCGGACUAUUUUUAUUAAAAGUAUAAUUAAAUUGUCAAGACAAUAAAUAUAAAUACGUGUUUUAAAUAUAUUUAUGUGAUGUUUGAGUUCGCAUUUAAUGACUAAAGUAAUAACUAAGCUGAUGAACGAGGUUAAUUGAUAAGAUACUAAUACUUUAAUAAUUCAAUUAAAAAAUUAAAUUUGAAGCAAAAUUAAAAUCUAGGAGGAUCUUGGGGCAAUUAAUCAAAAUUUUUGCCUCAUUAACUAUUAGUUAAAAUUUAAUUCCUUUUUAGAGAAAAAAAUAUAUAAUCGAAUUAUAUUUUUUUAAUUAAAUAAUUAAAUAUCUAAAAUUUGUUUUCAUUAAUUAUUUUCCUUUUUUAUAAUCUAUUAUUGUAAUGAUGGUUGUCAAAUAAAUGAUAUCAAUGAGGAAGAAAUGUUAUGUAAUUACAGUAUAUGAUUAAAUAAUGUCUUGGUAUUAUCGAUUGAGUGUUAGCUUAAUUAGUAUCGGUGUCAAUAUUAUUGUCAAUGCAAACGUGGAUUCAAGUUGGUCGAAGCGCAUUAUCUUCAUAUUUAAGGGUUAGAGAGAGAUUAUGUCUAGUUCUAGACAUUGUAUCAAAAAGAGCAGAUAGAUAUGAAAUGUCCUGUCAUUUAAUUUUUUUUAAUUUAAAUUUUAGAACAUUUAUAGAAAAGCAAAUAUAAAAUGUCAAUUGAGUUUUAAUUUAAUUGGCAUUGACAUUUUUGCUAGUGUAAAAAGACGUGAAUUCGAGUACGCUGAAGUGUAUUAUACUCCUAUUUAAGAAUUUGAGAAAGAUUAUAAAUAAUUUUAGGCAUCAUAUAAAAAAACAAAAUAAAUAGCAAAAUAUACAAUUGAAUACAUCAUUUUUUUUACUUUUCAUUUUUCUCUCUACCAUUCACUUUUUUUUAAUAUUUUCUCUCUUUAAAAAAAACUUUUGAUUACUUUUCCUAUGGAUUUGGAUUAAUUUCACAAAACAUCUUUAAAUUAUGAAUUAAAUUUUAACUUAGUCUAAAAAUUUUAAAAUGUUACAAUUAAGUGUUUAAAGUAUCAUUAUCGAACGUUUUCAUAAUAAUUCAAAUAUGAAAUGGAGCUAUAUCUAAAGAACGUGGGUAAAUUUUUAAACACGUAUAUACCUAUCGAAUGAGCAUCUUAAAUUUGACAUAUUUGGAAAAACAAUAUUUUUAAAAUUUUAAUAACACUGUCUCUUUUUUUUUUUUUUUUUUGUUUCUAACAUGCUAAAUGCUAACGGUGCAUGUAAUAGAUGUACACAUGUUUAAAUUUGAUUUGCAUAUCUUUAAUAUGUAAGUUAGAUUUGAUUUUGUAUUUAAUGCAUAAUCAUUGUUGUCCAUGGGCUUAAUGCAACAUGUUAUACCUAAAUUUGACACCUUUUUUUUUCCUUAAUUUGGUAUUUGAACUUGAUAUUUUUUAUUGAGUUGGUGUUAAAGCUCUUUUUUGUUCAAUUUUGUACCUAAAUUUUGCACUUUUUCCUAAUUAGGUACAUAAACUUGUCAAAAGUUAUACAAAUUACCUCCAAAACACUAACAAUGUUAGUUUUUUUACGAGAGGGCAACAAAUAGCUAAUUGAUGACCAAGAUGUGGUAGAUGACAUUAUUUUUUAACAACAUGAAUGGUUACUUUUAUUUUGAGUUUCCUCUCCGAUAAAUAAUAUCCUCAAAUUUCACUUUUUAAUGAGGUUGAGAUAACUUUGUCUAUUAAUGGUAGAAAUGAUUUAAGAGGGACUACAUGUUUAAAGCAUGGCACGGUCUUGACAAAGCUCUCAAUUUCGCAAAAAUAUCGUUGGAAUCAGAGAAAUCUAUGUUCAAAAAUUUUGCUUUGAGCUAUACUUAACUAAUAGAUAUUGAAGAAGAAAAUAAUAGUUUUAAGAAAAAAAGAAACCCAUUGUUCUAAAUUAAAAAAAACAAAUAAAUUAAACUAUAACUAAUUUAACAUUUAAAAUAAAAUAAAACAAAAUAAAAUAAAAUAAAAAGAAACCAAAUAAAUACUAACACUUCUAUGAUUGAAUUAAAACAUUUUAAAAUUUAAAAUUCGAUUUAAAAAUUGGACCAUUUGAUUUUUAAACUUUUUAUUUCUUAAUUUAUAUUUUUUUAUUUUACUUAUAACGAUGAACUAUAACUAUCCGUGAGUUGUAUUGCAAUUUUCUUCUAAAAAAUUUAAAGUCCAUAACUAUUUCGAAGCUAGGCAAAUAGGGGCGAAGCGAGAAAAUUUUUUUAGGGGUGGAUGAAAUUUUAAUUUUUUAUAGUUGAUAUCUUUAUAAUUUUUAAAUGAUUAAAUUAAAUUUUUAUAAUUUUAGGGGGUCAAAGUGCAAUUUUACCUUUACUAUUUUAAAUUUUUUUAAAAAAAAUUUAGGGCCUAAAAUUUAAUUUUACAUUUUAGGGAGGCCGGGGCCCAUGCCAGCCCUCCCCUGGCUUCGCCCCUAUAGGCAAACCUAUUUCUCCACCGUUUUAUUCUUCAAAAUUUUAAAAAAUAUGUUUGUUAACUUUGACUUUUUAUUUUAUUUUAUUUUUGAACAAUUUUAUUAUAGGUUCUGAUCAUAUCUGCUCUUUUUGACAUAAUGUCUAGAACUACCUAUAGUUAGACUUGUUGAUGGAUCAGGCCACCCAGAAAGUGGGAAUAUUUGGGUAAAAAUAUAGGCUCAAAAAAUGGAUUUGGACAAAAAAACAAAGUACAUUUUCUAAAUGGGCUGAUCUUGGUAAGUUUUUUUGCUCCGAGUUCGGUCGACCCAAAUUUACAAAAAAGAAAAAAUUACUUUUUUAUUGUUUUGCUAUCAUUUCGCUAUUAUAUUGAUAUUAUUUUAUUGUUAUUGUUUGAAUAUUGUAUAACUAAUAUUUUAUUAUUAACUUUGCUACUAUUUUAGAGGUAUUUACUUUUUAAGUUUCGCUUUAUUUUAGUGUUAUUUAAGUAUUUUUUAUCUAUUUAUUAGAAAUCUUUAUUUUAAUAUUUUUAGUGUAUUUGAUGUAUUAUAUUUUAAAAUUUAUUAUUAUAUAAAAAUAACAAUAUAAAAAAAUUAAUACAGUUGGGUCGGACCAAACUCAAGUUUUAACAUUUUUAUUCAGGUUGAGUUUGAGCAAAAUUUUAGGCUCAUUUUUUUGCCUAAAUUUUUACUUAGUCCGACCCAUAGACAACUUUACCUAUAGUCCUUCCCCAACCUAUAUAUAGGAGGAUAAUACGGUUUAGCACACUCGAACCCACGUCUUCUUGCAUUAAUAAAAAUACUCAUACUAAUCGAGUCUAAUUUUUUAUUACUUUCACUAAAUUUGAACUAAAUUAAAUUAUUCCAAAACAUAAAAAUUUAUAUUCAAAUCAAAUCGGAUGGAAUUAACUAACACAACCAUCAACAAUUCUAAUUAAGUCUGAUAUUAUUAGAUUUUCUCAACAUAAAAUAUUAAAAUUAAUCACCAGUCUUAAAAAUCACAUCAUCAUUUAAUAAAGUAGUGAUAAAAGACAAAAUUCACAUCUUAGGCACUUUAACAAAUAAUUACAAAAGUAAUGUUUUUUUUUUCUUUUUUCUUAAAUAAUUGCAAGUUGAUUGAUUGUUUAUUAAAAUAAAUUAAAAGUAUCAAUGGAUGCACUAUUUUCCUUAGUAUUUUUUUAUGAUUUUAAUAUGAAAUUAAUGUCACUUGCAUGUGAUGUUUAUGUCACUUUCAUAUGUAUGUUGAUGUAUUUUUCAUUAUGUUCUUUGAUGUAUUGACAAUAUUUAUUAAAAAUAAUAAUUAUAUUUAUUUUUUAUUUUAAAACAAAUUUUAGGGUUUUUUAAAUAUAAUCUAAAUUAAUUAAUUUUUUAUGAAAAUAAUUUAUUUAUAAAAUUAUAUAAAAAAUGAUCCGUUUUGGACAAUAUGUUUCGAUGUCGUCGUUGUCAUUAGCAGCACUACCCUUCAUAAUUGACUAAUUAUUGGCUGGUUUUAAAAAAUAAAAUUUUUGGAUGCCGUCGUUGCCAUUGACAGCAUCAAACUGAAGUGUGAUUAUAUAAAAUAUUUAGGGUCCUAAAGCAGUUCCCCUUUUUAGAUUAGAUGAAAAAGGGGUGCAUCCAUGAUUGCUGGCGGCUUCCAAUUAAAUGAUUUUAAAUUUUUUGUCUAUUUGCAUGUUAGGUCAAUUCCUUUUUGAAAUUAAAUUUAAAUAGCCCUUAAAAUAUUAGAAUAACAAAAAUAACCCUUUCAUUUUUUUUAUAAUAACCCUUUCAUUUUUUUAUCUUUUUUAAAAACAAUAAAAAUUAUAUAAAAUUUUUAUUUAAAUUACUCAAAUAUAACCCUAAAAAAAUUUCCUCUAGUUUUAAAUAAAAAAAUUUACAUGAGAAAAAUUCUCGAGGGAUAUAUUUAAGUAAUUUAAAUAAAAAUUUUAUAUAAUUUUUAACUUUAUUAUUUUAAAAAAAUGAAAAGGGUUUAUUUUUGUUGUUCUUGUUUUUUUAAAAGACUAUUUAAAUUUAAUUUCAAAAGGGGAUGGAUCUAAUAUGCAAAUAGACUAAAAGUUUAAAAGCAUUUAAUUGGGAGAUGCGCAAUCGUGGCUGACACUUUUUUCCAUAUAAUCUGAAAAGGGUAAUUGCUUCAUCAGAUCCCUGAAUGUUUCAUAUAAUCACAUAUUAGUCUAGUGCCGCAAAUGACAACAAUAACACCCAAAAAAAUUAUUUUUUAAAACCAACAAAUGAUUGGCCUAUUAUGAAGGGUGGUGCCGUCAAUGAUAAUGGCAACACCGAGGUUCAUUGAUCAAAAUGGGUCAAUUUUAUACACAAUUUUGUAAGUGAAUUAUUUUCAUAAAUUAUUUAUUUAUUUCGAUUUUUUUCUGAAAAAAGACCCAAUUUUUAUUUUCUUAUAAAUAAUGUGUAAUUAUGUUAUAAGUUUUGUAUUUUUAGAACUUUUGGAAUUUUGUUUUUCUAUUUUUAAUUCUCCUCUAAUUGAUAAAUGCGAUUAAUUGUGUUUUAUUAAAUUGGAGCAUGUAUUAUUAAUUUGUAAGGCCAUAAAUUUUUUAAAUUAAAAAUAUAGAGAUAGAAUUUCAAAAGUCGAGAGAGAGUAUAAUCCAUCUCGACUCAAAUAGUUAAAUUCAAUUACUAAUCAUAUACUGUACGGUUAUAGAUUUAGUCUAUAUUUACUAAUUGAAUUAUUCUAAGUCGCCGUUAUUUUCAAAUUUCAAAACUUCAUUAUCGAGGCAAAGGGCAAUCGUUAAUUCAUUAAUUAAAUUUUUACUGAGAAAUAUGUGAAAAUAACAAAUUAACAUUAUAUUACACUUAUGAUAAUAUGCUUACCACGUCAAAUUUUAGAGAUAGCAGAACUUAACUUAAUGAAUUUAGCAGUUAUUAUUUGGUGAUAAAUAAUUUUUUAAAAUUUGUAAAGUAUAGAGACCACAUUCAAAAAUUUCAGAAAGUAAAGGGACUAAAGCAAAAAUUCAACCUAAAACUCCAUGCAUGGUAUAAUAGGUGAAAUGAAAAAAUUGAAAAAUACAGAAAAAUACAACAAAAAUAACAUAAUAAUAAAACUUAGAUAUAUAGAAAUGGAAAAGUGGGUGGCUUUGGAAAAUGGAAAAGAAAAGAAAAAGUUAGCACUUAGCAUUGGGAAAAGAUAGCAAAAGAUGAGAUGAGAUUGGAAUCGGAAUGACCUCAUCCUCACAUUUUCUCUUUUUUAUUGCCAAAAAAAUUCUAAUUAUUAUUGAUAUAUUGUUUAAAAUAAUAUUUAUUUCAAAAUAUUUUGUAAAAAUUAACAAUAAAUUAAUUUAGUUUUAGCUUAAUUAGUAUUGUCAUUAUUGUUAGUGUAAGAUAGCAUAAGUUUUAGCGAGUAGGAAUGUAUUUAUCCUUUAGGGUUGUAGAGGGGCUAAGGUUAAUUCUGAGCAUUGUAUAAAAAAAAAAGGUCGAUGAAACUGUUUUCAAAUUGAAUUUAAACACUAAAUAGUAAAAAGAGCUCUAGUUUUAAUGGAGAGUAUGAAGGUUAAAAUAUGCCAAAAGUUUUUGUACUUUUCAAAUAUUUGGAAUUUAGUCCUUGCAGUUUUAUUUACAAUAAUUUAGUUCCUCUAUUUUUGUAGAUUUUAAAAUUCAAGUUCAAUUGUUAACAUAUUUUUUUGUUAAAGUUGUUGGUGUUAAUGGGUGAAAUUAAUAAGGAGGAGAUAAAUGUUGUUGUGGUGGUUUACUCUCGAUCAGGUGAUUAGCCACUGGAUGUUGGUGAAAUUGUCUUGGGAGAUUGGUGUUGAUACGAGAAGAACGAUUGGAAAGAAAAUGUGAUUUUUGUGUCUAAGUCUGCUCUCAAAUGUUACAGUAAGCUUAUACAUGAGAAACAAAGAUGCUUACAUCUCCUGAGCUCAUUGACAGUGGAGUUAUAUUUUGUUUUUCUGUAGUAGUAGUAACGUGACGUCCUAGGGUAUAACUUAUUAGGAUAACUGGGCAAUUAAUAAGUCUGAAACCUCACGUGCAUCCCAUGUGUACUUAGAGAGGGUGAUCUUGCGAAGGUUUGCCAACCUAUUGUGGUAUGAGGUUCACGAGGUUCGUUUGGUUGGAGGUUUGUCCGAUAUAGACAGUUAGUUUGUAACUUGACUGAUGAUACAACGUGGAGGAGGUAUAACAUAAAUAAUAAUCUUUUUUCAAGUUGAUGUUAUAAUUAAAAACAUUUUUUAAAAAAUAGACAACAAUCAUAUUCGCAAUCUAUAUAACUAUAUAUAUAAAAGGAAGGUUAUCAUAUUGACACGUGUGCAGGUUUUCUUUUGUAUUUUUAUAAAAUGGUUAAAUUUUAAUUUUGAUUCCUCUAUCAUAGAUUUAAUCUUUAUACUUCAAUCUAUAUAACUGUAUAUAAUUGUACUGUCCAAAUAUUCAAUCUCUCGAUACCUGUCCAAAAAACAAUUUUUUUUUUAAAUAUUAAAACAACGAUAUAAUUUCAAUUUUAGUCCUUAGAAUAUGCUACCAUGGCACACACCCGCCAUGCUUCUUUUCUUAUUUUAGUUUCCUAAAAGUGAUUAAUUUUUAGUUUUAGUCUUCCUAAUAUGUUUAAAUUUGAUAUUUAAUCUUUGUAUUGUAAUUUCCAACAUAAAUUGACCUCUAUAUUUUUAUAAUGUUGCUUAUUAAUUCAAAUAGUUAAUAUAAUUAACUUCUCAGUUAAAAUGUUACGUGGUUAUAUAUAAUUUGAAAGUGAGUUUUUAAAUCCGAAAAGUACAUGAAUUAAAUUCUUGAAAAUAAAAAGUAAAAGGACUAAAUUCCAUACGUACGAAGUAUAGAGACUUAGAGUUGUUGGUUAUUUGCCGGUCAAAUUGGAAACCGAUUGUGGUAUUGAUAUGAAGAGAGACACCAGGCUAGUUGAUCCUCAAACUAGAACAGAUCGAUUGAAUCGAGUUAAAAAAUUGAUUGAACUGCUUUUUUAAAUUUUUUUAAUGAUUUUUUUAAUCCAACUGUACGAACCAAUAGCCUGACUAGUUCGACCACUAAUCUAAUUCUAAAAACUUGGGUUAGAAUAUAUUUUACUCUAUAAUUUGAUACAAAUAUUUAAUCAACCCAAUGCUUAGUGUGAAUUAAUUUAAUAUAAAAUUAAAAAUUGAAUUAAUUAUAUAAAUUUAUUACUUAAAUGAGUCCAGUCUAGAAAUAAUUAUAAUUGAGCCUAAAACAUAGGGAUUGAUUUAUGGGCUUAUGGAGGCUUGAGAGAAAAUAGGCAAAAUAUUGAAAAGCCCAUGUGUGCACAAAAUGAAAUGUUGGCAAAAAGAGUUGAGCCCAAAGGCUGAGAAAGUCGCAUUUUGGCUUCCAAGUGUGCAUUUAAUGGUAAUUUUUUGCCACGUCAGAUUAUAAUCUAAUCGGAAGAUAACGGUUCAGUGACCAAAACAUAAUAAAUCAAUAACGUUAAUGAUCAUGCCGUAUUUUAUUUUAAAAGUUUGAUGAUCAAUACGUAAUUUAAAUCAUACAUAAGUAACUAAACUUGUAGUUUACCUUUAAAAAUAUAAGAUCCUUUUUAUAAAUAUUUUAAUUUUAAUUUUUAUGUAUUUUAAAAAUAUUUCAUUUUUAAUUUUUAGAAUUUAGAUUAAAUUGAAAAAAUGUGUAAAUAUUGAAGGUUAAAUUUAUUAAAUUUUUUAAAAAAUUAAGACUAAAUUAACAAAAAAGCGUAAACAUUGAGUAUUACAUUUGUUAUUAUACUAGACCACGUUAGCAUUCCGUAUGACUAAAAUGAGAAAAUAACUUAACGAGAAUGACUAAAUUAACAAAAAAAAUGACAACCAAAACAGUAACGCGCAAAAACUUAAGUGCAAGCCAAAAACUGUUGGAUCUAUUUUGUUAUCGUCCCUAAUUAAAUUUAAAUCGAAUCUACUGAAUCGAACAAGUAACUUGACUUCUCCAUAAACCUAAUCCCAACAUGUUAAAUUUUUAUUCAAUGAUUUUUAAGAAUUAAUAUCGACAUUUUAAGUAUUAAAGAAGAAAAUUAUUUUUUAUUAAAUAAUAUUUUUUUUUCAAAUAAAAACUAAAAUAAAUACCAAUUUGACAUAUAAAACAUUAGCCCCUCAACACAACUUGUAUGAAUUGAAAGAGAGCGACAUCACGAUGCAAAGGCUAGCAAGUUGAGUAAAUGUUGUUUUAGAUACUUGUGAUUGAGAAAUGUGAAAGGGAAUAAUUUUUACAUGUAUAUAUAUAAACAAAAAUAUUAGGCCCGACAUAUGGAUUUUACAAAAAUGUUAAAAUUAAUAUGUCAUAGGUUGAUAUGUCUUUCAUAAACUUAAAGUUUAGUCCCUAUACUUUUAUUUUUAGAAAUUUAGUCCCUUUACUUUUUAGAUUUCAAAAUUAAUGUCUAUUGGUGUGGCAUUUUGAAAUUUAAAGCAAACUCGCUUUGUAAUAAUGUAACUAAAAAAAUGACAUUGUAAUGAACAUGAAUUUAAUAAAAUAAUUUUUAUAGUAUUAACAGUUGGACUUGAAUUUCGAAAUUUGAAAAAUAGAGGGACUAUGUUUCAAAUUUGUGAAGAGUACAUGAACUUAAUUGGUCCAACUUGAGCUCCAUUAAUCAAAACCUAAGCAUGGUACGACCUAACCCGUUUUUCAAUUUUGUAAUAUUUUAAUUUUAGUUUUGAAAAUGAAUAUAUAAUACUUUAAUGUAAGUAUUAAAAUAUGUGUUAAGUUUAAAAAAAAUAACAAAAGAAAAAAGAAAAAAUAUUAAAUAAAAAUAACAUAUAUUAAAAAAUAAUAUGGUAGAAACUAAACAUGUUCGAGUUAACAAUUUAUAGAUAUGAACAAAUUUAGAUAAAAUAUAAUAUUCAUAUUUCAGCAAAGCCGGGGUCAAGGGGGGCUGGAAGGAGCCUCGACCUCUCCUAAAAUGGAAAAUUUUAACUUUAGUCCUUUUAUAAUUUUAAAAAAUUUAAAAUAAUAUAAGGUAAAAUUACACUUUGGCCCCUCAAGAAUGAGAAAAAAUUGAUUUAAUCAUUUAAAAAUUAUAAAGAUAGAGACUAUUAAAAUGAUGAAAUUUCACUUUUGCUAUCAUUAAAAUAUACAACUUUAUUCCGGCCCCCUUUUAAAAAAAUUUCUGGCUCCGCCCCUAUAUUUCAAGUCAAUUUUUUUAAACAUAAAUCUCAUUAUAAAUUAUUGUCAUAUAUGUUCUUUUUUAUAUAAUACUUAAAAACUACCCAUAGCUCCUCCCCAACCUUUGAAUAGGAGAAUAAUGCUCUUCAACGCAUUCGACUCAACUUUCUCCUACACUAGCAACAAUACCGAUACCAAUUGAAUUAAGACUCAAUCGAUAUAUUUCAGAUCAAAUUUAAAUAUGUUGAUGUCGUACAUGAAUCUCGAAUGUGCCAUGAAUACUUUUAGUUGUAAGGUAUAAUUAAAAAAAGAGUAGUGCUUAGUACAUUUUUAGGCCAAGGGUAAGGGACCACGGUAUUAAAGGAGUUCAGUAUCUCCAUGAAAAGAUGUUGUACACAGAAUUAAAAGUAUAAGUUUUAAUUUUAGUGAAAUAUUCCAUAAUUUGACUGAACCACAAUUAGGAUGAAGUAAAAUCUUGGGUAAAAUGUAAUUUUAUCAGUAUUAAUUUAUAAUUGCAUGAUUAUUGAAGGUAUUAUAUUGAAAUUUAACCAUUGAGAAGGGGGCAAAGCUCUUGCUAGCCAUUUAGCAACAAUGGUCUAAACAAGGAACUGGUGUUCGUAACCUAUUCGAAUUCAAUUCGAGAAAAACUUGAAUUCAAUAAGGCAAUUGCCAAGCUAAGCUUGAGCUAUUGGUCAAGCCAAAAUCGAGCACUAUAAUACUCAAUUUGAAUGGCUUGUGAGCUUAAUCGAGUUUUUUUUUUUGUUUUAAUAUACUUUAUAUUAUGAAAUUUCAUUUUCACCUUUAUUAUAUAGAAAGAACUUAAAUAUGAACGAACUUGAGCUAGAAUAAAAAUGAGCUUAUCGAAUUUGAAUUCGAGCUUAAGUACAAAAUUAAUAAAUAAACUUAAUCGAGCUCGAGAAGCUUUACUAAGUCUUGAGCCAAGCUUGAGCUUUGAAAUCAAUGUUCAAUUGAACUCGAGUAGAGUAUCAAACCUUUAAUUUCAAGUUGAGCUCGACCUUGGUACUAUUCAACUUCAACUUAGCUCUACACCAUUUCUACUUGGGGUCUACGUGAUUAAAAUCUCAAGCUUGGUCAUUUGACAACCCUUACUCUUAUUUAAAGAAGACAUAAUGACUUAUUUUGCUUUUAAACUUUACAAUAAAAAAUUAUUUUAGCCCUCCAUUUAAUUUUUUUUAUCUCUUUUAGCUUUUAAACUUAACGUUAUUUGUCAAAUCACUCAAAAAUAGAUAGAAAAAUUAACCUCUAUUAACUUUGCUGGUGUUGUUGAAAAGACAAAUUAAAAGGGGUGUUGAAAAGUCAAAAAAAUAGGAGGUGCAAGUGGCACCGAAAGAAAAAAAUGGUAGGCAAGUUGUUUAAAGUUGAAUGGGAUAAUUGCAAUUUUGGUCCCUAAUUUUUAGGCCAUUUGUAAGUUAGUCCCUGAACCUCAACUAUAAAUAGGCCUAACCAUUUCUCAUUUACACCAUCCCAACCAAUCUUUCUCUCUUCUCCCAUUUGAGAAUUCUUAAGGAAUUCUAUUUGUUUGUAAUAUUUUGGAAAUAGUAAAGUUAUCAUCUGGUGUUAGUGCCCGAGGACGUAGGUAUAAUUUACCGAACCUCGUUAAAACUCUUAUCUUCUUUUUGUCCUAUUUUUCUUUCAAUAUUUGAGGGUAUAAUAGUAGUAUUUAAUUGUGCUAUUAAAUUACGUUAGAAGGAAUAUUCUGACUAAGGAAAGACUUGGUAUUUAAGAGAUCCUUGUGAUCCACCUCUCUUCCCUGGGAAUUGAACUUUGUGUGAUUUUUUAGUACAAUAAUUUACACGCUUCCGACCCUAUUGGAACAACAAGUGGUAUCAAGAGCCGAAGGUUAAUCGUAGUAUGCUCUGUGGUUGCAGUUUAAACUGAUCUUCCACAUCAGAAAAGAUUUCCUUAGGUAUAUUGAAAGAUUAUGGAGAAAAUGGUCGGAGUAGGAGCUUCAACAUCGUCCAUGUGGACAAGACCGACAAUUGCAAAUGCAAGAUUGGCCGUGGAGAUCUUUGAUGGCGCGGGCCAUUUUGGUAUGUGGCAAAGUGAGGUUCUAGAUGCCCUUUUUCAGCAGGGUCUAGACAUUGCCAUUGAUGAAGAGAAACCAGAUGAUGUACAGGAGAAAGAUUGGAAGGCGAUCAAUCGGUUGGCAUGUGGCACAAUUCGAUCAUGCCUUUCUCGAGAGCAGAGGUAUGCUUUUUCAAAGGAGACUUCUGCAAAUAAGUUGUGGGUGGCACUUGAAGAAAUUUUUUUGAAGAAAAACAGUCAAAAUAAGCUCCACUUGAAAAAAAGACUGUUUCGCUUCACAUACGUCCCAAGUACCACAAUGAAUGAUCACAUCACCAAAUUUAAUCAGUUAGUCACUGAUUUGCUGAAUAUGGAUGAGACAUUCAAAGAUGAAGAUUUGGCUUUGAUGCUGUUGGGGUCACUUCCUGAGGAGUUUGAGUUCCUAGAAACUACUCUACUUCAUGGCAGGAGUGAUAUAUCUCUGAGGCGAAGUCUGUGCGGCCUUAUACAGUUAUGAACAGAGAAAGAAGGACAAACAGAAAAACUCAAUCAGAGAUACAGAAGCUUUAGUAGUCCGAGGUCGUUCAUACACUCGGAAGAAAACUCAAAAGGGGAGAUCAAAGUCAAAGUCCAGACUCGGGAAAGAUGAAUGUGCUUUUUGUCAUGAGAAAGGCCACUGGAAGAAAAAUUGUCCAAAGCUGAAGAAUAAGGGAAAAGCUGCUGUAGAUGCUUGUGUUGCUAAGCAUGAUACUAGUGACUCUGAACUAUCACUGGUUGCAUCAUCAUCGUCGUUCCAUUCAGAUGAGUGGAUAUUGGAUUCGGGUUGUACCUAUCAUAUGUCCCCUAACCGGGAGUGGUUCUCUGAUUUAGUAGAACUAAAUGGAAGAGUUGUUUAUAUGGGCAAUGACAAUGCCUGUAAAACUGUUGGGAUAGGUUCAAUCCAAUUAAAGAAUCAAGAUGGAUCAACCAGAGUUCUGACUGAUGUUCGGUACGUGCCCAGUUUGAAGAAAAAUCUCAUCUCAUUGGGAGCCUUGGAAUCCAAUGGUUCAGUUGUUACUAUGAGAGAUGGGAUUUUGAAAGUGACAUCUGGCGCACUUGUGAUAUUGAAGGGCAUUAGGAAAAAUAACUUGUAUUACUACCAAGGUAGUACAGUUAUUGGAGCAGUCACUACAGCUUCCGGUAACAAAGAAUUGGACUCAAUGCAGUUGUGGCAUAUGAAGUUGGGACAUGCCAGCGAAAAAUCCUUGCAAAUUCUGGCAAAGCAAGGAUUGUUGAAAGGUGCAAAGGCUUACAAAUUAAAAUUUUGCGAGCAUUGUGUUCUGGGAAAGCAAAAGAGAGUGAAAUUCAGUACUGCUAUCCAUAAUACAAAAGGUAUUUUGGAAUAUGUUCACUCAGAUGUGUGGGGGCCUUCCAAGACACCUUCAUUGGGAGGAAAACACUACUUUGUUACUUUUGUUGAUGACUUUUCCAGAAGAGUUUGGGUGUAUACCAUGAGAACUAAGGAUGAAGUGCUUAGAGUUUUUCUUAAAUGGAAAACUAUGAUCGAAAACCAGACUGGCAAGAAAAUCAAGCGGCUUAGGACGGACAAUGGAGGGGAAUAUAAAAGUGAUCCGUUCUUCGAUGUGUGCCAAGAGUAUGGUAUUGUUCGACACUUCACAGUUAGGGAUACACCACAGCAGAAUGGAUUGGCAGAGCGUAUGAAUCGAACAUUACUGGAGAAAGUUCGAUGUAUGUUGUCCAAUGCUGGGUUGGGCAAGCAAUUUUGGGCUGAGGCUGUGACAUACGCUGGCCAUCUUGUUAAUCGUUUGCCAUCAUCUGCAUUAGAAAGAAAAACUCCUAUGGAGGUAUGGUCUGGAAAACCGGCUACAGAUUAUGAUUCCUUACAUGUGUUUGGAUCCACUGCAUAUUACCAUGUGAAGGAGUCAAAGUUAGAUCCGAGGGCAAAGAAAGCUCUCUUUAUGGGAAUCACUUCUAGAGUGAAGGGAUUUCGUCUUUGGUGCUUAAGCACAAAAAAAUAAUCUGUAGCAGAGAUGCUACCUUUGAUGAAUCUGCCACAUUGAAAAAAGUAGCAGAUAAAGAUAUUCAGACGAGCAAUACUCCACAGCAGGUGAAGUGUACUCCAAAACAGGUGGAGUUUGAGCAGAUGGGGAUUUGCCCAGUUAAUAAGUCUAAUUCUCCAGCCACAAUGGAGGAAUUAGAGGUUGAAGAGGUUCUGACCCAAGAACCACUAAGUACACCAGAACCAGUUGCAGUUGCAAAGCCACGGAGAGAAAUUCGUAAACCUGCUCGAUUUACUGAUAUGGUGGCCUACGCCCUUCCCGUUGUUGAUGAUAUUCCUAUCACUUAUCAAGAAGCAAUGCAAAGCUUAGAAAGUGAUAAAUAGAAAAGCGCCAUGGAUGAAGAAAUGUAGUCUCUCCGGAAGAACAAUACUUGGGAGUUGGCGUAAUUACCGAAAGGUAAAAGGGCAAUCGGAUACAAGUGGGUAUUCGCAAAGAAAGAUGGAUCUCCUAGCAAGAAGGAUAUUCGCUACAAGGCAAGAUUGGUAGCUAAAGGCUACGCUCAGAAGGAGGGAAUUGACUACAAUGAUGUAUUUUCCCCUGUUGUGAAGCAUUCCUCCAUUAGAAUUUUGUUGGCCUUGGUAGCACAGUUGAAUUUGGAGCUAGCUCAACUUGAUGUUAAGACGGCUUUCUUGCAUUGUGAGUUAGAAGAGGAGAUCUAUAUGACUCAGCCAGAAGGAUACACAGAUGCUGGUGGUAGAAAUUGGGUUUGUAAGCUUAACAAAUCGCUAUAUGGAUUGAAGCAAUCCCUGAGGCAGUGGUACAAUCGAUUUGAUAGCUUUAUGAGAAGGCAGAAGUACACAAGAAGCAAAUAUGACAAUUGUGUAUAUUUACAGAAGCUGCAUGACGGAUCUUUCAUUUAUCUACUCUUGUAUGUUGAUGAUAUGUUAAUCGCUUCGAAGAGCCAAAAUGAGAUAGAUAAGCUGAAGGCUCAGUUGAAUCAAGAGUUCGAGAUGGAAAAUCUAGCUGAGGCCAAGAAGAUUCUCGGCAUGGAGAUAAGUAGAGAUAGACCGAGAGGCAAGCUCUGUUUAAAUCAGAAGCAAUAUCUGAAAAAGGUAUUACAAUGUUUUGGUGUAAAUGAAAACACAAAACAUGUAAGUACCCCACUUGCUUCUCAUUUGAAACUUAGUGCUCAAUUAUCUCCGAAGACUGAAGAUGAAAGAGAAUAUAUGGCGAAAGUCCCAUUUGCUAAUGCAGUUGGGAGUUUGAUGUAUGCGAUGGUGUGUACGAGGCCUGACAUUUGACAAGCUGUUGGAGUUGUGAGCAGGUAUAUGCAUGAUCCUGGAAAAGGACAUUGGCAAGCUGUGAAAUGGAUUCUACGGUAUCUUCGAAAAACUGUAGAUGUUGGUUUAAUUUUUGAACAGGAUGAAGCACUUGGUCAGUUUGUAGUUGGAUAUGUUGAUUCCGACUUUGCUGGUGAUUUAGAUAAACGUCGUUCAACUACGGGGUAUCUGUUUACUCUUGCGAAAGCCCCAGUGAGUUGGAAGUCUACCUUACAGUCUACAGUAGCUGUGUCUACUACAGAGGCAGAAUAUAUGGCAAUUACAGAAGCUGUUAAGGAGGCUAUUUGGCUUAAUGGAUUGUUGAAAGACUUAGGAGUUGUUCAAAGUCACAUAAGUUUAUAUUGUGACAGUCAGAGCGCUAUUCAUUUAGCGAAAAAUCAAGUCUAUCAUUCAAGAACCAAGCAUAUCGACGUAAGAUAUCACUUUGUGCGGGAAGUCUUUGAAAAAGAAAAAAUUAUACUUCAGAAGAUUCCGACAGCAGAUAAUCCCGCAGAUAUGAUGACCAAGGUGGUAACAACAAUCAAGUUUAAUCAUUGUUUGAACUUGAUUAACAUCCUGAGAAUUUGAGCACCUUUAGGUGUAUGGCGCUCGAGAGCGUAUUUGGAGGCACUACAAAAGAUAGCUUUAUCGAAUUUGGGGAGUUGAAGGAAGUAUGUGAAGAUGUGAUUAUCCUAAUCAAAUCUUCAAGGUGGAGAUUGUUGAAAAGACAAAUUAAAAGGGGUGUUGAAAAGUCAAAAAAAUGGGAGGUGCAAGUGGCACCGAAAGAAAAAAAAUGGUAGGCAAGUUGUUUAAAGUUGAAUGGGAUAAUUGCAAUUUUGGUCCCUAAUUUUUAGGCCAUUUGCAAGUUAGUCCCUGAACCUCAACUAUAAAUAGGCCUAACCAUUUCUCAUUUACACCAUCCCAACCAAUCUUUGUCUCUUAGUUUUCUCUCUUCUCCCAUUUGAGAAUUCUUAAGGAAUUCUAUUUGUUUGUAAUAUUUUGGAGAUAGUAAAGUUAUCAUCUGGUGUUAGUGCCCGAGGACGUAGGUAUAAUUUAUCGAACCUCGUUAAAACUCUUAUGUUCUUUUUGUCCUAUUUUUCUUUCAAUAUUUGAGGGUAUAAUAGUAGUAUUUAAUUGUGCUAUUAAAUUACGUUAGAAGGAAUAUUCUGACUAAGGAAAGACUUGGUAUUUAAGAGAUCCUUGUGAUCCACCUCUCUUCCCUGGGAAUUGAACUUUGUGUGAUUUUUUAGUACAAUAAUUUACACGCUUCCGACCCUAUUGGAACAACAGGUGUGACAUACAAGUGGAUUUACAUGUCAGCAAUUAAUCUUUUAAAAUAAAAAAAAAAUAAUUUUUAUACAUUUUAUAAUUUUAAUUGUUGAUGUGGCAAUCCGCACUUAUACUACGUUAACAAACUAAUAGAUGCUAAUUUUUACAUUAAUUUUAUGAUGAUUUGACAAACUAAUAAAUGUCUAAAAUUACUCAUAGUCUCUUCCCAACCAUUUAAUAGUAGGAUAAAUAUAUCUUAACGCGUUCGAACCCACGUCCUCUUACAUAAAUAACAAUGUCAAUACCAACUAAGUUAAGACUCGGUCACAAACAACAUAAAUUUUAAGAUUGAAAGAGAAGAAAAAAUUAAAUGAAUGAUGAAAAUAUCUAUUUAUUAUUUAUAAAGUUGUAGGGCAAUCAUGGCAUGAAGUCUCGCUGAUGUCUUGACUGAGGAAGACUUUGUCAUUGGGUACACAAGUAAAAACAUAAAAUGUGUCAAAUCUAAAAAUGGAAAGGGAAUGACAGUGUUUUCUACGAUUACGUAAACCUUUAGUAAUUUUCACAUAUUUUUUCCACACAUAUAUUAUAAUUUUUAAGUCAAUGAAGUCCUACCUUUUGUCUCACCUUGAAAGUGAAAUUUCUUUGAUUGGAAUAGGUAGGGCAUGCCGUCAUAAAAGAGGCAUGGGAUCCCAAGGGGGCUUUUCUUUUUGUGUUUGUAUCUUUGUUUUUGGAGAAUAUAUUAGGACAAGUGGAUGAUGUGGUUUUGAACUUUGCCACGAUACAGCUCUUCAUAGAUCAGGUUAAGUCGAGUUGAUUUACGGUAUUUUUAAAAUUUGGUACGUUUAGAUAGAGGUGAAUAAAACUCGAUUCGAUUAGAAAAAAUAGAAAAAAAUUAAAUUUCGAGUUAUUUGAGUCAAUUUGAAUAAGUAAUUCAAGUUUUGAGUUUGAAUCAAGUUGGAUUUUCUAAUUUGAGCAACUCAAAUAAUUCGAAUAGCAGAUUGGUGUAAAUACCCCUUUGGUCCUUGUCAAUUUUAAAAAUAAACAAAUUGGUCACUCUCUCAACAAAAAUUACAAAAGAAAUUCAAAAUUCAAAAUAUUUAUAAAAAUUCCAAAACUUUCUAAAGAAUAUAUAAAGGAAGUUAAAAUUUUGAAAAUUUUCUAAAAAAAAUAAUUUUGAGGUCUAAAUAAGUUAAUUAAUGGUUCAAGUUUAUCAUAUUAAAGUAUUUUUUUUAAAAUUUUCAAAUACAUGUGUUCAAUAUGGAAUUAUUUAUAAUGUAACAAGAUUUUAAUCUGACAUGUUUAAUUUUUUAAUUUAACUCGAUUCGAUUAAAAAAAUUCGAAUCGAGUUAGGAUGAAAAAUAGAACUAGUCAAUUCAAAAGUUUUUCACUCAAUUCGACUCGAUUCAAUCGAAUGCUCAACUGCUACGCUUAGAAACCUAUAUUAUUGUUUACUAGAAAUAAAAUAUUAAAAAAAGACAAUUUAAUUUAAAAUCUAGCCGAGCGAGUCACUCAGCCAUAGACAAGUUUACUCUGGACUUGUUAACUAGGGUCACAUUGGUAUUUUUAUUUCUUUGAGAGUUUCUUAGUGCCGGAACUUGAAUUUAGUAAAAGUGUUAAAAAUUGGUUUUUGUACAUUAGAAUGAAGUACAUAUGACAUGCCACGUAUAAUUAUUUAGUUAUUAACGGCAAUAGUAGUUGAAAUUUUACCUUAUUUGCAAUAAUUUCAAACACAUGAGAAUAACUUAAUUUAUAAUAUAAAUUUUCAUGAAAAAAAGAGGUUAUGUACCAAUAAAGACCUAUUUCUAAAAUUAUUUACGAAAAUGAGCCAUUUCUAAAAACAAUUACGAGUAUGGAUCAAAAACUCAAAAACGCGUUGAUGUGGAUGCGUUUUCAAGUGAAAUGAGACUUUGGGUCUAUAUAAAGAUAUGCUUUAUAAGUUUUAUUUCCACAUUAAUUGGUGGCACAAAAAAAAAUGGUAUUGCCACUUCCUUAUUAAAGUUUAUUCUUGUAAAUUUUUAAAAAAACUAACCUAUUUUUGUAAUAUUUAAAUUUUUUUUUUAAAUUUAGCCUGAACAUGAGUAAAAACAUGUCUAUAUCAGUCCGCUUUUACCUAACUCAAGAAAAAAGCGCUAAUGUUGAAGCGUUUUUCUCACUAAUCCCAAAAAGAAAACAUAAAUAAUUGACUAUUUCUGUAAACUAUUUAAAAAAUGGGAAUUUACAUAACCCGAAAAAAAACAUAAAUGACAGAAAAACAUAAAUUUAUUACUAUUUAUUUAACAUUAUCAAUUAUUACUAUUUAUAUAAAGACAGAUACAAUAACAGCUCUUUCCUUACAAAUCUGUACCAAGAACUCAGUUCUGUCUCAACUUUUGUGCCUUUAUAUAAUUGCCUCCUUGCAGGGGCAGAUGAUUCUUUUUUUCUUUUAAAUUCACCUUUUUUAUGUUGUGGUAGUUUUACAACUAAUAUAAUAUAAUAAAAAUAUGUUCUAAUUUUGUAAUUUCUUUAUAUUUGAAAUUUUAAAAUAGGAAAAGUAUAAGGAUUAAAAUCUUAGAGAUAAAGAUAAAUUAACUAAAUUUCAUAUUUUAAUUUAGGGGUGAGCAAAAUUCGAUUUAAUUCGAAAAAAUAAAAAAAUUAAAUUUCGAGUUAAUUGAAUCGAGUUAUUCGAAUUAUUUGAGUAAAUUCAAAUAAGUAAUUUGAGUUUCGAGUUUGAAUUGAGUUGAGUUGAAUUUUACAAUUCGAAUAAUUCGAAUAAUAGAUUGAUAUAAAUACUCUUUUAGUCCCUAUCAAGUUUAAAAAUGAGCAGAUUGGCCUCUCUAAAAAAAUUAAAAAAUUCAAAAUAAUUUUUAAAAAUAAAAAUAUUUAUAAAAUUCUAAAAAUUAUAAAAAAUUCAAAAAAAAGUUCAAAAUAACAUAUAAAAAAUUUAAAAAAUUAAAAAAUUUAUAGAAUAAUAAUUUUGGGAUCUAAAUAAGUUAAUUAAUGACUCAAGUUUAUCAUACUAAAGUAUUUUUUUUAUUUCGCUUUGAAUAAGCUUUCAAAUAUAUAUGGUUUCAAAUUUAUAUGCUUCAACAUGAAAUUAGUUAUACUAUAACAAGAUUUUAAUUUGACAUGUUUAAUUUUUUAAUUUAACUCAAACAAUUUCACUCAAUUAAGCUCGACUCGAAUUUCAUUUCAGCCGACUCGAUUCGAAAAAAAUUAAUUUAAUUUAGGAUGAUAAAAUAGGAACCGUUAACUCAAUUUUGGUGGAUUGGAUCUGACCUUGAGCUUGAAAAAAAAUCGAAUCAGACUUAAAUUCAACUAGACCCAUGAACACUUCUAAAAUGUAAUAAAUAUAUUUAAAUUUAUUUAAAUUAAAUUAUAUAUAAACACAAAAUAUUUUAACUAUAAUUAUGAGAUUAUAUACAUUAGAUUUAUUGGCUGGUCUAUUUAUUAAUUUUGAAAAAAAUUAGGAGGGAGUUAAUUCAUACCAAAACCUUAUUAAUGAGAAAGAAAACUAUAGCCAAACUUAUCCUUAAAUUGUUUAUUAAGUUUAAGCUUUAAGGAGUUGGUGGCUAAAGCAAAAUAUUUUAUUCUAAUUAAAAAAAAAAUCUACAUUAUUGGUAAUGGCUGAAGCUAUCGGUUAUUGGGUAUUUAGAUUGUAAUUUUACUAUGCAUAAUUAUGCUACGUGGGUUUUUAAUCUCUUCAUGUGCAGUUAUCGUUGAUUUUGUUUAGUUAUAUUUUGAUUCUAUACUUUCUAUUGGUUCGAUUCUACAUUUUAGUUGCUCAUACAUGUGUUUAUAGUUGUAUUAUAUUUAUAUUCGUAAAUUCUAAAAAAAUAGAAAAAAUCAACUGAUUGUGAAAAUGACAAAAGAUUUGUAUUUAAGUUUUCAGUUAACGUCGGAUUAUAAGUUCAAUCCUUAAACAACUCCUCCCCUCUACCACGUAUAAAAGAAAAAAAAAUGUAUUUUUUUUUGUAAUUUUAGUGAAAAAUUGUUUACUUUUUGUUUGAUAAAAAAAUUAUUUCUACGAAACAAUAAUUUCACAUUAAUCCGAGUAACUGAAAAAAAAAUACUUGAAUCUAAAAUAAUUUAAUGAUGAAAUUAAAUGCUUUUAAGGAUUUGGGUCAGCUUGAAUUAAAAUUUUAAUAGUAAAAUUAAUAUUUUUAAUUUUAUAAAUAUAAAAAUAUUUGUUAAGAAAUAUGUUUAUAUUUAUUAUUAUCUUUUGAUAUUUUUUAUGUAUGUUUUACGAUCUAUGUUCGGAAUUUGUAGUUACCCCUAUUAAUAAUAUCGUCUCCAAGAAGUUUGGAUGGACUCAACCCUAGCCUAAAUCGACUUGUGUAAAGGUUUUGUUGCAUUUAAAUUUUAACUCAAUGCCUCUAGCUAAAAUAACCAAAUUUAGAUACUUUGAAAUACUAAUAUGAAGAAUAUUCAACAUAACUAAAACAUAAUUUUUUUUAAAUAUAAUACAAAUGAACAAUCUAUUUAUUAGAGAUUGUGUGACUUAAAUCCCAACACUUAUUGAAGAAAUAAAUACAAUGACAAAAUAAGAGGAUCCGUGGGGACGAAAGGAUAAGACCAUACCGUAUAAAUUGAGUUCAUACAAAACUGUACUUCUUCUAUUUGACUUUGAUUAGAAUAGGGUUUUUCAACCCUUAAAUAGAUGUAAUCAAAACUCUUAUUGCAUAAUUCGUUUUUCAACAUUAGUGGAUUUCUCCUCCUCCACGUAAAAUUUGUUUGUUCUUAUUUUUAUUUUCUUAUUACUUUGUAAUCGUUCUACCGCCAUUAUCAACGUUUAUUAUAACACUAUUAAUAUUGAGUAAUUUGUAAUUAUGUUUAAGUUGUUUAUAUUAGUAUAAACCUAUUAUUAUUAGUAUUGACUAGAAAAAGAUUGAAAAAUAAUUUUGUUCUAUUAUCAUGACUAAGUUCAAUCUUUUCAACCAUACAUCAUAAAAUAAAACAAAUUUAUUUUUAAAAAUUUUAAAAUAAGAAAAUAAAAAUAAACUGUAUGCUAUAAGGCAAUGAAAAUGAAACUUUAAAAUUAUAAAUGACAAAAUUUGAUUUUAUUUAAAAUAUAAUUUAAUUUAAAUUUAUAAUCUCAAAUUUCAACAAAAUCCAAUUUUAAAUUGAUAUAUAAUUGUAUACAAAAUUAUAAAUAAAGUAUAAAAUUAAUUUAUAAAUAUUUUUUUGUGGGUGUUCAACUUUUCUGACGAAAAACAGUGAUUCACCAAACAAUUUUUUUAUGGAUAUAAAUAUGUCUUGUCAUUUUCUCUCUUUUUUUUCUUUUUUUUCAUAGUAACUAUGUUAUUGUUAUUGGGUAUUGAACGAUUAAUAAUGAAAAGAUGAUUUUGAGGGCACUCGAUAGAAGAUUGUUGAAUAAAUAAAUGAACGAGUAAAUUGUAUGCUGAUGAUACACGGUAUUAAUAAAGGUCAAGAUAAAGAAGAUAGUCUUUUCGUUUAGAAAAUCCUUCAAAUAAAGUACCCGAGGUUACUUAAAUUAUAAAUAUAUUAAACAUUAUUAUAUAUAUUUUAUUAUAAUUAUAUGACAUGUAAACUUUUGUAUUAGUAACAUAAAACAUCACAUUUCCGUUUAUUAAAAGGUUGCCUAUUGUCAAAUGCAUUCUAAUUUGAAAUUUUGGGUAUAUUCUAUUUUUGGCCGACCAUUUCAUUAAAUUCAUUUGAUUUUGAUUGGAUUUGAGAUGAAAGUUUUUCAAGUAGAAUUAAUCGAUGUAAUGCUCAAAUGAAAUUAUAAAUUUUGCUUUAAAAAGAGGAUAUAAGAUAAUCAUUUAAGGAAUUUAAAUUCUGUUUUAAUUACACAAAUUCAUCAGUUAUUAAUAAAGGUAGACCAGUAAUUUUAUAGACUAUUUAGAAACAAUGGCUUGUAACAAUGAUAAUAAUGUUAAAUUGUUUGAUCAGCCUCCCGGUGGGGUAUUGAACUAGGUUUAGCCUUUUCCCAGUUAUGAUUUUUUUUAUCACGAAAAAAAUAUAAAUACAAUUAUUCCAUUUGUAUAAUUAUAAGUAGAAUUCAAAUUAUUAUAGUGCAUAAUCGAUCAGAUUGAUGAUCACAAUAUAUUCAAAUAAAGCUCAUAUAGGAAUGGUAGUGGGUUAAAUAUUUAUAUUUUUUUGAAUUAUCUAAAUUCGAAUCCGUAAAUCUAUUUGAAUAUCUAAAUUUGUUUAUUGUCUGCAAAAUAUCGGAGUGUUACUAUUCAAAUCCAAAUUUAAAUUAAAUAUUAUAAUUUAAUUUUCAAUGUUUUUUGGAUAUCUAAAUUAAAAAAUAUUGAAUUUGAACCGACUAAUUUUUUAUUUAUAUAUAAAAUCAAAAUUAUAAGGUGGAUUAACAUACCUGAAUCCGGAUCCAUUAUAUGAAUAAACAAUACAAAUUCGAAUGAUGAAUAUUCAAGGUAUUUAUCUCCGUUCGCACUGAAUAUGCAAGAGAUAAUAAUUUUAAAAUCUGAAUUCGAAUAUUAUCCAAAUUCGAAAUAUGAAUUGUCAUCUCUAAGCUCACACAUGGCUGGAUUUGAAACUAGGAUGAACUCUGGAUUGAAAACCCGUAUAUAUGUAAAUACAUAUGGAGAAACAUAAACUUUAGUACUUAAGAUACCAAGACCUCCAUCCUUACCAAUAUGAUCAAGGCCUCUUUGGCUUGAGAUAAAAAAAAAAAUUUAAAUUUUGAUUUAAUGUAAAGUUAUUUUUGUCACUCCGACAAGCCACACAAAAUUGAUUUGUUUUUCUCUAUUUUUUCUAGUGGAAUCAAGGAAUUCUUCAUGUCUAUUUUACAGUCUAUGGAGAUUAAUCCUUGCGAGGUUCAUAACUGUUCCUCUCAACAAUGUUGUCUCCAAAAUUCGAACGCUAGUCCUACUCUUAAGAGUACAAUAUGUCUUAACAUUACACCUAAAAAUAAUUUAAUUAAAAUACAAAAUGUCCUCAAAUUAUAAGUCAAAAUUUAAAUUUAUUCUUAACUUUAAAACAUUUUAAAUAGUUCUAAUUGUUCCAUUUUUUGUUGAUCUAAUCGUUGACUUUAGAAUUAAAUAUCAGCUCGAAUUUAAUCUAGUACAUUUUUUUAGGCACACAUAGAUUAGUAUAUAUUUUAAAACACUAUAUCCAAAAUAACAUUUAAAGCUGAAGUUUAUUUUUAAAUUAGAUAAAAGACUUGAUUGUACAAAUACUUUAGAUUGAGGGUUUAAUUGAAAAUUUUGAAGUUUAUGUACGAAUUUAAAAUUUGGUCCAUAGUUUGGAGAUGUAUAGUUUAAUUAACUCCAAAAUUAUAAACAAUGAAACAUGAAUUGCCAAUAUAACAAUUUGGUUGAAUUUUGUAUCACGAGUUUAAAAAAUAACUAAAAAAACUUAUAAUAAUAAACAAUAUAAAUUUAAUAUUAAUAUUUUUAUACCUAUUCCCACACGCUACUAUCAAGUCACCCCAUCAUAUCCUAAUAAAAGCAUCCAAGCUUCUACAACCAUUUUACAUAUAGUAGGGCAUCGUUCUAGUAGUACUUACGCGACCAUGCCAAAGCUCCUCCUCCUCCUAAAUAAAAUCCCUCUAUGUCACAAGAAGAAAGGGGACUCCAAAAGGCCUACUAAAGCUCUGCAAAAUCUCUCCCAAUAAGAUCCCUAAGCUUAUGAAACCCCAUAAAUCUUCUAAGUCUAAUGGAUAUUUGCAUUUCUUAUGGCGAGACCUCUAUAACAAAUCGCCCUUAAUUUUUGUGUUGUAACGAUUUGUGUUGUUUGUGAGAACUAAGUAAAAGGUAAUUCUCUUCACUAAGUGAAUCCAUGGAAUCUUUUGAAGCUUAUACAAUAUUUAGGUUUCUUGGAGCUUUCAACUUUGAGGGGGCAACAAGUAUGUUUCCUUUAAAUACGUUAAGAGAAAUACUCCAUGCAUUGCAUGGGAAAGGGUUAAUAAGGGGCCACCAAGAAGCUCUUGUCGACAUCUAAUGAGGUUCCUCGCCUGCGCACUAGGGGGAACUUUGCCAUCACUCAAGAAGGCACCUCACCUACAUAUAAAAAUGCCUUUCACUAGCACCUAAGAAGACACCACACCCUCAUACGAAAGGGCUUGAUCGCAUCUAAGGGAGUCCUUCACUUGCAAAUUAAGGGGUUCUUCACUAGCACACCAAGAGGCACCUCACUGUACUCAACGGAACUCCUCACUUACACUAUCAGAAGGCUACUCAAUGAAUACUUUGCCAUUCACUUCACUUAAGGGAGCCCCUCACCCAUACUUUAGGGGGUUGUUCACCAAUACACUAAGGGGCAUCUAACCGCACCUAAAGGAUCUUCUCAUCUACACCAUAAAUGGGUUACCCAAUAAGUACUUUGUUGGCACACCAAGGAAUCCCUCUCAGAUAUAGUUACUAGGUAUAUAUUAUGUAGUUUGAAAAAUAUGGUUAUACGAAGAACAACCAAUGACCAAUGAGUGAUGUCUUAUCCCACUUACGCCAUUGAUUGCCUAGGCGAGAGGUCUUAUCCCACUUAGUAGAAUCAACUAAAGGUCAAUGUGUGAGGUUUUAUCUCCCUUACACCUUUCAAGGCUAAGGUAAAAUGUCUCUUCUCCUUUGUGGAAUUGACUAAGGUGUAAGGUCUCGUCCUCCUUAUGCCCUUACAGAUUAAGGCAAGAGAUCUCAUCCUCCUUAGUUGAAUUAACUGAAUGUUAAGGUGUGAGGUCUUGCUUCAUUGAGGAACUAAGAUGAAAGGUCUCAUCUCCUUACGCCCUUAAAAGCCAAAUGAGAGGUCUUGCCCCUAUUAGUAGAAUCAACUAAAGGCCAAUGUGUGAAGUCUCGUCCCCCUUGAGGAAUUGGAUAAGGUGUGAGGUUUCAUCCCCUUACAGCCUUAAAGACUAAGUAAAUAGAUCUUGCACCCUUUAGUAAAAUCAAUAAAAGAGCAAGGAAAGAGGUUGCCCCUUUGAUGAAAAUGGCUAGAUCAAAAGACCAAGCAUAAGGGUUGAACAAUAUUCAUAACAAAUUUGCCUCUUUAAGUCUAAACAAAUUGUACAAUCACUAUUGCUUGUUUAGGUUAAAAAUACUUGCUCAGGCACAAAUAUGUAUGUUUUUUAAAUUCGUGCAAUGCAUAAAUUCAACAAAAACUAAAAUGCCAACGCACACAUGCAAAAGUAAUAAGCAUAACAAAGUUCCAAACCAAUUUCAUUAUGGAUAAAAACAAAAGCAAUAACAUAGCAAAGUUCAAAAUUGAUUCCACAAAUGGCAGUAAGGCAAUUUUAUUAAUGACUACUAGCGAAGCAACUUUAUAGUAAUAAUAGCAUUUUGAAGGCCCUAUUGUCGUUUUUGACGAAGCUUCUUAAGGCUUCAAUGCCCUAUUGGGUGCAAUCUCUCAAUGCCCUAACUCAUUAAAAAGUGACCACCAAUGAAGAUGAGUGUAGCUUGCUCAAGCUUCAACAAUAAUGUCACAAGAAGAAAAGUAAGAAACCAAUACUUUUAAAUCACGGUGAUAAAAUAAAUUGUUUGCAUGGGCAAAAGAGAGACCAUAUCAAUAGGAAGUAGGAAAACAAAGACAAGUGAAGAAUGAUAGAGGCAACUCGAAAAAAAAACCACAUUUCUUGACGAGCAAGACUACAUAAGAAAAAAAAGCUGGAAAAUAAAGAUAAUGUUGGAGAGUUCAGUAAACUUGGCCCCAAAACUUGUGUCUUCAAGACCCACUACACCAAAUUCGUCUCUAAGGCAUUUUAUUUUGCCUCUGUAGGUUAACUUCACCAAGUUAGCCUCCCAAGUUCGCGAAGGCUAUCUAUAAACCUUCCUAAGGAUCUAUAGCAAGUCUUGUCAACGAAUUAACUCAAGGGAAAUUGUUAUAGUUAUUCUCACAUACUAUUAUCAAGUCACCUCAUCACAUUCUAAUGAAUCACCCAUGCCAAUACGAUUACCUCAUAUAUAUAUAGUAGGACAUCAUGCGAAUGAGUUCCACACCAAAUCUCCUCUACCUUUGUGAAAGUCGUAUCCAUCACAAAAAGAAAGGGGCUUCAAUAAACCUAUCAAAACUCUAUUAAUUCUUUUCCAAUUAGCUCUGUAAGCUCAUGAGACCUUUUGAAACCUCCAAAUUCACACCUUCCAUGGUGUGAAUCGACCCUCUACACUCCUCCAAGUCUAGUGACUCUCACAAUGUUCAUAGUGUGAAUUGCCCUUGCAUGAGAGACUCUCCAAAUCUUUCAUGGUAUGGACCACCUCUCUACUAGUGGCUCUCCACACCUUUUAUGAUGCAAAUUGUCAUACCAAACCACCCCCAUUUUUCUAUUUUAUGUAAUAUCUUUCAUGUUAUUUUAUAAUAUAUAUAUAUAAAUACACUAUUUAAAAAUAAAUACUAACCAAAUUUAUUCCACAUUUAAGGCUAGUGCCAACUGUCGAAUUUAAUUUCACAGUACACUAAGGAGCAGUAGCGCACAUCAUAGCUAAUGGUGGUUACCCACUCUGAAUCAUUACUGCAAGCCGAGUCGAAUCAAAGUCAUCGAGCCGGUCCGGGACGUGUUAUCUCGAAUCUGAUAGGUCGACAUAGGUUUGAUGACAUCACCCUACGGCAAAGCAGUGACAUCACAAAUCUAAACGGGCUUUUGGUGAAGGCCACGUGGUAGAAUUAUUGGUACACUGAUAGCUCUAGCUUCUUCCUUUGUGUUCUCUUCUCAAGCUUUAAGUAAGCGCGUUGUAUACACGCUUCAAGUGUGUUUAUUAAAAUUUUAGGGCCUCAAAAUUUUUAUUUGGAAAAUUUUAAAUAUCAUUUUCAUAACAUAGAAAAUUUAAUAACCUUAGUUUUAAUUGGGUGAUUUUAAUAAAUAUUUAUAUUUUCGAGGUUGAAUAUUCUAUUUUUUUACUUGUAUUAAAUAAAUAUGGGUAUAAAAUCGAGUUAUAAAAUCUCAUACUAUAUAAACUAUGUGCGGGUUUUUAGCUCAUAUCACAUUUUAAUUUAAAUUUCAUUGUGUGUAAGCUCCGUUCAACUUUAUUUUGUUUUAGAUUCGGAUAUAUUAUGAUUUUUUUAUCUAUUUUUAACUUUUUUCAUUUUAAUUAUUUGAUGUUGGUUGCAAUUAUACGAAUAUAUAUUAUUUACAAGUAAUUGUAAUUUUUCAUGUUUUUAUUAUUUUAUAGUCAAAUAAUAAUAUUUUUAAUAUCUUAAAAUAGAGAAAUUUAAAAAAUAGAAUUAUAUUAGAAAAAAAUAAUUUUGGAAAAUUCUAAAAUAGUAGUGGGCAGAAAAAAAAAAGGUAAGAAGGAAGCUAUGGUGUUUGACUGUUUGUUUAGAAAUAGAAAAAUGGGACUUAAAUUUUUUUUUUGUUGUUGUUGUUGUUGUUGCAUAUAUUAUACUAUUAUAGUCUAACUAUGGAGAGAAAUAAAAAAUAAAAUCAAUAAUCAAUGGUUGUGUAAUCGAGUAGCAAGGAGUUUGAUAGUUAAUAAACAAAAUCUAUUCGAGUUUUUGGAGUUUUUGGAUUAUAGAAAAUAUCAUUUAGUAAGUUUAAAUCCCCGUUUAGGGUGUUUCAUCUGUCUUAAUCAGUUGAAACUCAAUGUGACUAUCAGAUACCAAGGUAUUACACGCAUGAUGUUUAUCAAGCAAAGUCUAUAAUUCGAGUUUUUGGAUGGAGAAAAUAGCGGUUGAAAAGUUUUACUCCUUGUUUAGAGGGUUUACUCCAUCUUGAUUAGUUGAAACACUAUGUGGCUAUCGGAUACCAAGAUUUGACCAUUGGAUGCUUAUUAAGCAAAGUUUGAGUUUUUGGAUUGAAAAAAGAACACUUGGAAAGUUUUACUCCCCAUUUAUGGAGUUCAGCCCAUCUUAGUUAGUCGAAAACUCUAUGUGACUAUCGGAUACUUGAUAUUGCUUAUUAAGCAAAGUCUACAGUUUGAGUCUUUGGAUGGAGAAAACAAUGUCGGGAAAGUUUCAUUCCCUGUUCAGGGGGUUCAACUAGUUAGGCUUCAAAUUUAGUUAGGAUCCACUGCGAUUAUCGGGUACCAAGGUAUGAUCACUUGAUGCUAGUUAAGCAACA
rnacentral:lncRNA from 1 species